rnacentral:lncRNA from 1 species
GUGGUAUUUCUGGAUCCUUACCAAGGCAGUAAUGGUAUAUGCCUUCUCUCAAAGUAUGUAGUAUUUUUGGUAUGGGGCAUAGUGGCAUUGCCUUCUCUCUCACCCUACUCUAAUAAGGUUUUGAUAUCUGGAGCUCAUAGGUGGGAGACAGCUAAUACAUACUUACAAGACAUUUAUUGCAUAGUCAAACCAUGGAUCCAGAAGAACAAGUCAAUAAGUCAAAUCAAGAUGUGCAUGUGUGGCGUAUGAAUGAUGUAUGGUGAUGAUGGUGAUAACAAUGGUGGAAGUCUAAUUCUACUUAUGCUCUUUUGAGGGGAUACAUACCUUUCUUGCUCUUUUGAAACCUUUUGAGGAGAAUGAGAUGCUCUAUAUUUUCUUUUUCUUUUCUCUCAGGUGGGUAUCUUGUACCCCUAAUUCUACUGUCGGACACUUGUCCAUUUUUACCUCUCGUCUCACUUUUUUUUCUCUUUUUUUUUCGAGGUUCCGGGCACUUGCCCCUUUUUAUUUCCUUGUAUCUUUUUUUUUCUUUUUUUAGAGAGCACUCAUCUCUUGAAAUAAUAUAGCAAGUGGUAGUAACAAGAUAACUUGAGCAUUUAUUUCACAGGGGAAAAACAAAAAUAUUUUUGGCUAUUCUCUCCCGGAUUAGGAGUAGAAUAUUUUUGGGUGGUUCUGGAGAUGGAAAUGGAUGGAUAUAUGUGGAUGCGUACUUCCGGAGUAGAAGCAGCAUGUAUGAGUGAACGUGCAAGUGAAUCUUGAUUUAACCACAUGACAAGCUCCUAAGGGUCUACACAGCUUGACCACACUCAAUGCUCAUAAGUAGUAAAUAAUAAAUGUGUGGCUCAAAGUCUAGCAAGCAUGUAUAUAUGGCUGUGGUAGGAAUUUAAACUCUCAUCAUAUAGGAACUCAUCAUGCAACGUUUUAAAGAUUUUCAAAGAUAAAAUUCUCCAGAAUUCUAGCAUCUCUAGGAACAGAUAAACAGCAGCUCAACCUUCCCAUAUCGUAUCCGUUAACGACUUAGACUUUAGAUCAAGUACUCUCCCCACAAGUUCAGGUUUAGAGCAAAUCUUAAUUAAUAACAGUCAUGCCUAAACUUGAGAGAGAUUUCAAUUUUGAGAACUAGUCAUGGCAGAGCAACUAUUCAUGAUUUCCAUGUGAGAGCUUAUCAUGAGGGUUCAUAGCAAACUUUAUUUAUUUAUUUAUUUAGCAAACUAAGCAAAGAUAUAUAUAAGCACAAAAUUUUUAUUUGGGUUUUCAUGAUUAUGCAUCUUUUUAUUAUUUGAGUAAAGUAUAAAUGCGAGUAGAAACACUUAGCUGGAUAAAUGGGGGUGCUCUCCCCCAAGCUGGAUUUUGACAUAAUUUCUUUUGAUGUAGCUAGCAGGUGGCGGAGGUGUAUUUGAAUGUCGGCAGCACUCUGACAGCGAUUAGGAUGUCCUCCGUCUGCUAGACUUCUUUGAUCCUUGAAUUCUGUGGAGCUCAAAUAGACAACAAAGCUUUGUGGAACUAGUUAAGUGUUAGCAUAAAUAUUUAGCCUUUAUCAUGUUGAGUCUCCUCAAUAAAUGUUACUCUCUUUAGUAGGAUCACUAUCUUAUUUUUACAAUUUUAUUUUUGUAGGACAGGAAUAUAUUUAUUUCAUUUUUAUGCCAGCACAGUGAAUGUGCUUAUGGGUUUUAUGCCAUGAGCAUAAUCAUAUGGGGCAUACUAUUUUUUAACAUUUUUAUUUUCUUUUCAAGAUGAUAUGAACCUGAUUAACUAAGCAAACUAUUUUAAGAUAAUUGAAAGGAAAAGAUAACUACCAAGUUUACCUCUUGGCAAGGCGUUCGGUGUUUUUAAGUCCUCCGAACGGGACUCUCCGUUUUCUCAGUUGUCCUGGGAUUCGCUAGAUGGCGUAGUCGGUGGUUUCGGCGGCGCGUACUCUUCAUGUAUAACUAUCUUCUCUCUCCACACCUGACUCGGUGCUACGGUCUCCUCAGGACAGUUCUGUUCAAGCUAUAUGUCUUCAGACCUUACGACUUCUUCUUCAUAGUCUGCCCAUCCGUCCUUGAUGAUUUGCCUCCUCUGGUUGCGGUUGCGUCGUCGUUUUCUUGUCCUGACCUACUUAGAGUCUUCAACUAUAUAGUUAGGGUCAGUAAAAUAGUGGCGUACCUUCUCAGAGGGGAAGUUCAUGUGGAUUUCUCCGGUUCCAAUGUAGAUGAUUGCUUUGACGAUGCUGAGGAAAGGUCUUCUAAGGAUGAUGAGUGGAUCGAAUUCGUCUUCUCCCAUGACAAUAACCUUUCAGAAUGUCUGAUCUGCCAUCUGAAGCUGAAUCUAUGUCGGUUGUAGGGGCAUGGUUCCACGCAGGAGCUGAUAAGUGACUGCGGCCAUUAUGUUAACGUUAGAUCCGGUGUUGUAGAGUGUCUUCUGAAAAGAAUAUCCGUUAAUUGUGCACUCGAUGCUUGGAACACCAGGGUCGUCCUUCUUGAUAAAGAAAGGUGACUUGAGUUGACGAUCUUGACCUCCUUGAGCUGCAGUGACCAUCUUAGCUGACUCGGUCCACAUUUGCUUGUUCCUGUUCCUCCUGUUGGUCCUCUUCCUUGUUUCAUGUCAGGAUUGCUCUGAGAUUUGUGUAGUCUUGUUCUUGAAGGAAAACGUCUCCGUCCUUCCCUUGAUGUAGAAACUGAUCUUGACAGCACUAGCAUAGAUGACAGCUCCCGAGGUAUUCAGGAAUGGCCUCCCUAGGAUGAUGGGUGCCCUCUCAUCAGUAUCAGUCUCUAUCACCACGAAGUCUGCUGGAGCGUAUAAGGUACCAACUCGGACGUAGAGGUUCUUCAAUAUUCCCCUUGGGAAACUUAGUGUCUGAUCUGCAAGCUGCAAACACAUGGUUGUUUCUAGGAAAGGAUGUGUAAAGAAUUUAUCAUAGAGUACCCUGAGAAUAAUGUUAACGCUGGAGCCAAAGUCGCAGAGUGCUUCUAGGAAGUCCACCAUGCCGAUGGAAAUCGGGAUGACGAGACGUCCUGGAUUGUAUCUCUUGACCGGCAGAAGGUCAGUAAUUAUUUCCACAACGGGGUUACUCCAGUAGUUACGUCCUCAAGCAUCUCAGGGCAGUGAUUGCCUGAGUGUCCAGUAUCUCCAGUGUGUUUGUGCUCGUAGAUCUAGGUUCUUCACUUAGUGGAGUCUGGGAGUUAUAAGAGUCCUUCAUAUUUUGCUCGAAGUGUACCUGCUCACAGAGACAAGGCAGAGAUCAAGUGCAUGGGCCCUGUUGGUGGAAAACACCAACAGAACCAAAAGUGUAUUUAUUCUUCUCUAACCUUAAGCAUAGUGAGCAAGACAAAGUUAAUGGAUAAUAAGAUCAUGAUUGUAGCAUUUAAAACAUUUGUCAGAUCAGAUGGCUCAACCUAAUGGAAAGAUAAUCUAUCUAUACUUAUGUUUUUUUUUAUCAUAUAUAUCUUCCAAAUAUUGAGUGUGCAACAUUUUAGCUCAUAUGAUUAGGAGUGUGGGAUCACAAAGGUGGAAGGACUAAACAUAUUGAAUCGAUUGGGUUGGUUAAUCUAGAGUUGUAAAUCAUACAUGUUUGUCUCUUUUAUUCAUGUGAACGCCAGAACCAAGGAGAAGCUUAUAAAAGUGAUAGUCAAGUACCUUAAGAUGUUACCUUACUUGAAGAGUGAUGAUACAGUAUCACCUUGUGGAAGCUUUCCUUUCUUAGCAGUUGUGAAUCGUGUUUGUGGCACCCUCCAUGGAUCAUCUCUUGUGAGCUAUGCCUUCCUUGUGUAAAUUGUUAAACUUCAUGUGUCUCUCUCUUUGUCUCCAAUGUGAGUUUGUCUCAAGACUUCCCAGAUUGAUAUUGAAAGUUUUCCUGCAGGGGUUAGUCCAACAAAAUAUCCAAUAUCUACUAUAGCAUACUAUCGGCUCAAAAAUCAACCUAGACACCAUGUCUAAUUUGAUUCAGGAGGGCUUUUUUAACCUAAGCACCAUGCUUAAUUUAAAACCCCUUGGAAGUAAGAUCAUCAUUCCUAAACUAAGCACCAAGCUCAAUUAAGAGAUAAAUGAAACUACUCCAAACCUAGACAUAUACUAAAGCAAAUAAAGGUAGCAUGAGAGCAUUUAUAGAGAUCUACUCAAGUGGAGAUGAAGUAGUGUGAUUAGUAUUUAACAAAUUGAGCAUGUUUCAAAGGUAAGGACAACCAACAUAGCAACAUGGCAAAGGAUGUUUUUAUGUAAAGUACUCCCCCAAGCUUGAAUUUUGCAAAAUUCAAGUUUGGAUGAAUUUAAUUCAAUGUUGUAUGAUGAUUGGUUGGACAUACCUUGUGCUUGUCAUUCAUCCGAUCUUCUUGCUCCAAUCCUAGAAAGGUCAGUGACAAGAAUACCCGAAGGAAUAUUUUUACAAUUAUCCUUAUAUGCUCAAUUCACAAGGUAAUGUUGUAAAUAAUUCAAAGCUCAUGUUACAAUCUGAUUAGUGCUUGUUUUAGGACACUAAGCUUGUCCUUGGGAAACCAUUAAUUUAUGUCAGCGAAGUGGUUUCCCCUCCAAUGCUGACCUAUAUCAAGAUCAACUCAACGAGAUCUGCAAUAUUUAAUAUAGACAUAUGCAUCGACAACCACCCUUUUAAAGUUUUUAUAAAUAGAAAGGAAGAGGGGGUUGGAGAUCUCGAAUGUGGUGAUGUUGGAGAGACCAAUGGAUUGUGAAGAUGUUGCAUAUGAGCAUGGAGUAAAUGAAGUGGCUAUGAAAUAAAUUCCAUGCUCAUUAAUGCUUAGAGUGAAAUCCAUGUGGUAUGGUGAAAAUGGUAAGGUGAGUGUGGUAAAAAAGGAAAAGAAAAAGGAUACACGGACGACUUGGUUCGAAACUAGCACAGCUACCUGUUGACGGUCCUUAAUGCUCAUAUUUAACCAUCAACUAAUCAUAGAAAAGGAUCCAAGUGCAACCAACACCUAGACUUAGGGUUUUAUCUGACAGAAUUCCACAAGUUUUGGUGUUUGUCUAUUUCUGCAGGGGGUUAUCAGGAAAUAUGGAAAAAAGGCCCACACGUCGGGUUUACAUAGAGAUAUUAACGUGCCGCACAAUUAUCUACCAUCUAGAAGAGUCCAGAAGCCACAGGAGCGAACGGGAGACGUAACGGAGUCGGGCACUGGGCGCCCGCCCUCCCUUACUGGGCGCCCGCCCUCCCCCCUGGACCAAUCAGGGUGAAGUUCGGGGAUCAUGCUCCACCGACCUAAUACUUCAAGGAAAACCACACGAUCAAUGUCGGUUUGAUCCGACGGCCCAGAUUCACUUGAAGGGACUAUAAAACCAGACCCCCUGGCCCCUGGAGAUCAUACCUCUUCUACAGAAUCAAAGCUAGGGUUUCAAUUCUUCAUCCAAGUAGAGAUGAUCCCUCUAGUUCUUCUAGUUCUACCUCUAGUUCAUCUAGAUCUAGUUCUAGUUCAUCUAGUUCUAGUUCUAGUUCGCUCUAGUUCUAGUUCUAGUUAGUUCUAGUUGUAAUCUAGAAAAUAGGGAGAGAGAAGAGGAGAGCAGAGAAGGAGGAGCCGGAUCUGUCGGAUCUUCCUCAACAUUGUACUUUUGCAGCAGCUGGUUCAUUCUUCAUCGUUCUCCAGGUUCUUCAAUUCAUAAUUUCUGAGUUCUUUAAUUACUUUUAUUUACAUUCAAGUUAUUUAUUGGAUUCCCGCUUGCAUCAAGUGCUCUAGUCUUUAUAACGCUAGAGUAGUAAUUAAUAGAUUAGACGUGGUGUUUAGUCUUGCGAUUACCUAGAAUUGCACCCAAUCCCACGGAUUGUUGUGGUAGCCCUAGGGUAGUGACAGCCCUAACGGUCGACGUAUUCCACCACGUUCGGAUCGGUGUUUGUAGGACCGUAGUCAGACCUUCCUAGCCCCGUUCUCAUCUCUUUCUGUGGUUAGUGCUCUGAUGUCCCGAUAUAGAUAAUCUUGAAGUAAUUCUUGAUUCUUAGAUCAACUAGAGAACUCUCAGGAAACUUCCUCUCUUCCCACCAAAAAUAAUUAUAUAGUUAUCCUUGGGCGAUCUUGGAUCUUAAUUAGUACACUCACGUUCUCUGUGGAAAAUCGAUACUCUGGAAUACUCCCGGGUGAAAGCUACAUCGGUAUCCGUGCGCUUGCGGAUUUUUCUGUUUGCGUUUAAAAUACCCAACAAGCUUUUUGGCGCCGUUGCCGGGGAACGGUAGCUGUGCUAGUUUCGAACCAAGUCGUCCGUGUAUCUUUUUUCUUUUCCUUUUUUACAACACUCACCUUACCAUUUUCACCACACCACAUGGAUUUCACUCUAAGCAUUAAUGAGCAUGGAAUUUAUUUCAUAGCCACUUCAUUUACUCCAUGCUCAUAUGCAACAUCUUCACAAUCCAUUGGUCUCUCCAACAUCACCACAUUCGAGAUCUCCAACCCCCACUUCCUUUCUAUUUAUAAAAACUUUAAAAGGGCGGUUGUCGAUGCAUAUGUUUAUAAUAAAUUUUGCAGAUCUCGUUGAGUUGAUCUUGAUAUAGGUCAGCGUUGGAGGGGAAACCACUUCACUGACAUAAAUUGAUGGUUUCCUAAGGACAAGCUUAGUGUCCUAAAACAAGCACUGAUCAGAUUGUAACAUGAGCUUUUAAUUAUUUGCAACAUUAACUUGUGUAUUGAGCAUAUAAGGAUAAUUGUAAAAAAAUUCCUUCGGGUAUUCUUGUCACUAACCUUUCUAGGAUUGGAGCAAGAAGAUCGGAUGAAUGACAAGCACAAGGUAUGUACAACCAAUCAUCAUACAACAUUGAAUUAAAUUCAUCCAAACUUGAAUUUUGCAAAAUUCAAGCUUGGGGGAGUACUUUACAUAAAAACAUCCUUUGCCAUGUUGCUAUAUUGGUUGACCCUACCAUUGAGACAUGCUCAAUUUGUUAAAUACUAAUCACACUACUUCAUCUCCACUUGAGUAGAUCUCUAUAAAUGCUCUCAUGCUACCUUUAUUUGCUUUAGUAUAUGUCUAGGUUUGGAGUAGUUUCAUUUAUCUCUUAAUUGAGCUUGGUGCUUAGUUUAGGAAUGAUGAUCUUACUUCCAAGGGGUUUUAAAUUAAGCAUGGUGCUUAGGUUAAAAAAGCCCUCCUGAAUCAAAUUAGACAUGGUGUCUAGGUUGAUUUUUGAGCCGAUAGUAUGCUAUAGUAGAUAUGGGAUAUUUUGUUGGACUAACCCCGGCAUGAAAACUUUCACUAUCGACCUGGGAAGUCCUGAGGUACACUCACAUUUUUGACAAAGAGAGAGGCACAUGAAGUUUAACAAUUUACACAAGGAAGGCAUAGCUCACAAGAGAUGAUCCAUGGAGGGUGCUACAAACACGAUGCACAACCGCUAAGAAAGGAAAGCUUCCACAAGGAGAUACCGUACCAUCACUCUUCAAGUAAGGUAACAUCUUAAGGUACUUGACUAUCACUUUUAUAAGCUUCUCCUUGGUUCUGGCGUUCACAUGAAUAAAAGAGACAAACAUGUAUGAUUUACAAAUCUAGAUUAACCAACCCAGUCGAUUCAAUAUGCUUAGUCAUUCCACCUUUGUGAUCCCACACUCCUAAUCAUAUGAGCUAAAAUAUUGCACACUCAAUCUUUGGAAGAUAUAUUUUAUAUAAAAAAACAAAACAACAUAAAUAUAGAUAGAUUAUCUUUCCAUUAGGUUGAGCGAUCUGAUCUGACAAAUGCUUUAAAUGCUACACUCAUGAUUUUAUUAUCCAUCAACUUUGUCUUGCUCACUAUGCUUGAGGUUAGAGAAGAACAAAUACACUUUUGGUUCUGUUGGUGUUUUCCACCAACAGGGCCCAUGCACUUGAUCUCUGCCUUGUCUUUAUGAGCAGGUACACUUCGAACAAAAUAUGAAGGAGUUUUACAACUCCCAGACUCCACCAAGUGAAGAACCUAGAUCUACGAGCACAAACACACUGGAGAUACUGGACACUCAGGCAAUCACUGCCCUGAGAUGCUUGAGGACGUAACUACUGGAGUAACCCCAUUGAGGAAGUUACUACUGACCUUCUGCCAGUCAAGAGAGGCGAUCCAGGACGCCCCGUCAUCCCGACCUCCAUCGGCAUGGUGGACUUCCCAGAAGCACUCUGCGGCUUUGGCUCCAGCGUCAACAUUAUGCCCAGGGGAAUAUUGAAGAACCUCUACGUCCGAGUUGGUACCUUGUACGUCCCAGCAGACUUCGUAGUGAUAGAGACCGGUUCUGAUGAGGGGGCAGCCAUCAUCCUAGAGAGGCCAUUCCUGAACACCUCGGGAGCUGUCAUCUACGCUAGUGCUGCCAAGAUCAGUUUCUACAUCAAGAGGAAGAAGGAGAUGUUUUCCUUCAAGAAACAAGACUACACAAAUCCCAGAGCAAUCCCGACAUGAACCAAGGAAGAGGACCAACAGGAGGAACAAGAACAAGCAAAUGUGUACCGAGUCAGCUAAGAUGGUCACUGCAGCUCAAGGAGGUCAAGAUCGUCAACUCAAGUCACCUUUCUUGAUCAAGAAGGACGACCCUGGUGUUCCAAGCAUCGAGUGAACAAUCAACGGAUAUUCUUUUUAGAAGACACUCUAUGACACCGGAUCUGACGUCAACAUACCGGCCGCAGUCACUUAUCAGCUCCUCCAUGGAACCAUGUCCCUACAACCAACAUACAUUCCGCUCCAGAUGGCAGAUCAGACAUUCUGAAAGAUUGAAGGUUAUUGACAUGGGAGAAGACGAAUACAAUCCACCCAUCACCCUUGGAAGACCGUUCCUCAGCACUGUUAAAGCAAUCAUCUACAUUGGAACCGGAGAAGUCCACAUGCACUUCCCCUUUGAGAAGGUACGCUGCUAUUUUAGUGACCCUAACCAUAUGGUUGAAGACUCUAAGCAGGUCAGGACAAGAAGAAGACGACGCAACCGCAACCAGAGGAGGCAAAUCAUCAAGGACGGAUGGGCAGACUACGAAGGAGAAGUAGUGAGGUCUGAAGACAUACAGCUUGAACAGAACUGUCCUGAGGAGACCGUAGCACCGAGUCAGGUGUGGAGAGAGAAGAUAGUUAUACACGAAGAGCAGGCGUCGCCGGAACCACCGACUACGCCAUCCAGCGAAUCCCAGGACGAAUGAGAAAAUGGAGAGUCCCGUUCGGAGGACUUAAAAACACCGAACGCCUUGCCAAGAGGUAAACUUGGUAGUUAUCUUUUUCCUUUCAAUUUAGUUUGCUUAGUUAAUCAGGUUCACAUCAUCUUAAAAAGAAAAUAAAAAUGUUAAAAAUAGUAAGCCCCAUGUGAGUAUGCUCAUGGCAUAAAACCCAUAAGUACAUUCACUGUGGUGGCGUAAAAAUAAAUAUAUAUUCCUGUCCUGUAAAAAUGAAAAUAUAAAUAAGAUUGUGAUCCUACUAAAGAGAGUAACAUUUAUUGAGGAGGCUCAACAUCAUAAAGGCUAGAUAUUUAUGCUAACACUUAACUAGUUCCACAAAGCUUUGUUGUCUAUUUGAGCUCCACAGAAUUCAAGGAUCAAAGAAGACUAGCAGACGGAGGACAUCCUAAUCACUGUCAGGGUGCUGCUGACAUUCAAAUACACCUCCACCACCUACUAGCUACAUCAGAAGAAAUUACGUCAAAAUCCAGCUUGGGGGAGAGCACCCCCAUUUAUUCAGCUAUGUGUUCUACUCGCAUUUAUAUUUUACUCAAAUAAUAAAAAGAUGCAUAAUCAUAAAAACCCAAAUAAAGAUUUUGUGCUUAUAUAUAUAUAUAUCUUUGCUUAGCUUGCUAAAUAAAUAAAUAAAGUUUGCUAUGAACCCUCAUGAUAAGCUCUCAUAUGGAAAUGAUGAAUAGUUGCUCUGCCAUGACUAGUUCCUAAUAUUGAAAUCUCUCUCAAGUUUAGGCAUAACUGUUAUGAAUUAAGAUUUGCUCUAAACCUGAACUUGUGGGGAGAGUACUUGAUGUGAAGUCUAAGUCGUUAACGGAUAUGAUAUGGGAAGGUUGAGCUGUUGUUUAUCUGUUACUAGAGAUGCUAGAAUUCUGGAGAAUUUUAUCUUUGAAAAAAUCUUUAAAAUGUUGCAUGAUGAGUUCCUGUAUGAUGAGAGUUUAAAUUCCUACCACAGCCAGAUAUACAUGCUUGCUAGACUUUGAGCCACACAUUUACUUUUUACUGCUUAUGAGCAUUGAGUGUGGUCAAGCUGUGUAGACCCUUAGGAGCUUGUCAUGUGGUUAAAUCAAGAUUCACUUGCACGUUCACUCACACAUGCUGCUUCUACUCAGGAAGUACCAUCCACAUAUAUCCAUUUCCAUCUCUAGAACCACCCAAAAAUAUUCUACUCCUAAUCCGGGAGAGAAUAGCCAAAAAUAUUUCUGUUUUUCCCCUGUGAAAUAAAUGCUCAAGUUAUCUUGGUUACUACCACUUGCUACAUUAUUUCAAGAGAUGAGUGCUCUAAAAAAAACAGAAAAAAAAGAGAAAAAAAAGAUACGAGGAAAUAAAAAGGGGCAAGUGCCCGGAACCUCGAAAGAAAAGAAAAAGUGAGACGAGAGGUAAAAAUGGACAAGUGUCCGACAGUAGAAUUAGGGGUACAAGAUACCCACUUGAGGAAAAAGAAAAAAAAUAUAGAGCAUCUCAUUCUCCUCAAAAAGUUUCAAAAGAGCAAGGAAGGUAUGUAUCCCCUCAAAAGAGCAAAAGUAGAAUUAGACUUUCACCAUUGUUAUCACCAUCAUCACCAUACACCAUUCAUUCGCCACACAUGCACAUCUUGAUUUGACUUAUUGACUUGUUCUUCUGGAUCCAUGGUUUGACUAUGCAAUAAAUGUCUUGUAAGUAUGUAUUAGCUGUCUCCCACCUAUGAGCUCCAGAUAUUAAAGCCUUAUUAGAGUAGGGUGAGAGAAAAGGCAAUGCCACUAAGCCUCAUACCAAAAAUACCACAUACUUUGAGAGAAUGCAUACACUAUUGCUGCCUUGGUAAGGAUCCAGACAUACCACAAAAGAGAGACUAGAGAGAGUCAUACAAGGAAUCUCUGAGUUUUAUUUGAAAAUCUGCAAAAACUCCAGAGCUAUAGUUAAUCGAAGAAUAAGAGACAUGGUGCUUGACUAGACUGUUCUAUCUUUUAACUACUCAAGACAGAAGUGACGGUUACAAGUCCCAUGGUGAAAGGUAAAUGAGUAAGUUUUAAGUCUUAACAGUUUACUCUAACCAGAGAUGAGAUCUUUUUUAAACGCAUGUGUAUCUUUAAGUUAUGAAACCACUGCAGAAACUCUUGAGUUUAUCUUUGCUCAGGGACGAGCAAAGGUUAAGCUUGGGGGAGCUUGUUGACGGUCCUUAAUGCUCAUAUUUAACCAUCAACUAAUCAUAGAAAAGGAUCCAAGUGCAACCAACACCUAGACUUAGGGUUUUAUCUGACAGAAUUCCACAAGUUUUGGUGUUUGUCUAUUUCUGCAGGGGGUUAUCAGGAAAUAUGGAAAAAAGGCCCACACGUCGGGUUUACAUAGAGAUAUUAACGUGCCGCACAAUUAUCUACCAUCUAGAAGAGUCCAGAAGCCACAGGAGCGAACGGGAGACGUAACGGAGUCGGGCACUGGGCGCCCGCCCUCCCUUACUGGGCGCCCGCCCUCCCCCCUGGACCAAUCAGGGUGAAGUUCGGGGAUCAUGCUCCACCGACCUAAUACUUCAAGGAAAACCACACGAUCAAUGUCGGUUUGAUCCGACGGCCCAGAUUCACUUGAAGGGACUAUAAAACCAGACCCCCUGGCCCCUGGAGAUCAUACCUCUUCUACAGAAUCAAAGCUAGGGUUUCAAUUCUUCAUCCAAGUAGAGAGGAUCCCUCUAGUUCUUCUAGUUCUACCUCUAGUUCAUCUAGAUCUAGUUCUAGUUCAUCUAGUUCUAGUUCUAGUUCCUCUAGUUCUAGUUCUAGUUAGUUCUAGUUGUAAUCUAGAAAAUAGGGAGAGAGAAGAGGAGAGCGGAGAAGGAGGAGCCGGAUCUGUCGGAUCUUCCUCAACAUUGUACUUUUGCAGCAGCUGGUUCGUUCUUCAUCGUUCUCCAGAUUCUUCAAUUCAUAAUUCCUGAGUUCUUUAAUUACUUUUAUUUACAUUCAAGUUAUUUAUUGGAUUCCCGCUUGCAUCAAGUGCUCUAGUCUUUAUAACGCUAGAGUAGUAAUUAAUAGAUUAGACGUGGUGUUUAGUCUUGCGAUUACCUGGAAUUGCACCCAAUCCCACGGAUUGUUGUGGUAGCCCUAGGGUAGUGACAACCCUAAUGGUCGACGUAUUCCACCACGUUCGGAUCAGUGUUUGUAGGACCGUAGUCAGACCUUCCUAGCCCCCUUCUCAUCUCUUUCUGUGGUUAGUGCUCUGAUGUCCCGAUAUAGAUAAUCUUGAAGUAAUUCUUGAUUCUUAGAUCAACUAGAGAACUCUCAGGAAACUUCCUCUCUUCCCACCAAAAAUAAUUAUAUAGUUAUCCUUGGGCGAUCUNNNNNNNNNNNNNNNNNNNNNNNNNNNNNNNNNNNNNNNNNNNNNNNNNNNNNNNNNNNNNNNNNNNNNNNNNNNNNNNNNNNNNNNNNNNNNNNNNNNNGCACGGCGCCAGAAAGCUUGUUGGGUAUUAAACGCAAACAGAAAAAUCCACAAGCGCACGGAUACCGAUGUAGCCUUCACCCGGGAAUAUUCCAGAGUAUCGAUUUUCCACAGAGAACGUGAGUGUACUAAUUAAGAUCCAAGAUCGCCCAAGGAUAACUAUAUAAUUAUUUUUGGUGGGAAGAGAGGAAGUUUCCUGAGAGUUCUCUAGUUGAUCUAAGAAUCAAGAAUUACUUCAAGAUUAUCUAUAUCGGGACAUCAGAGCACUAACCACAGAAAGAGAUGAGAAGGGGGCUAGGAAGGUCUGACUACGGUCCUACAAACACCGAUCCGAACGUGGUGGAAUACGUCGACCGUUAGGGCUGUCACUACCCUAGGGCUACCACAACAAUCCGCAGGAUUGGGUGCAAUUCCAGGUAAUUGCAAGACUAAACACCACGUCUAAUCUAUUAAUUACUACUCUAAUGUUUCAAAGAUUAGAGCACUAGAUGCAAGCGGGAAUCCAAUAAAUAACUUGAAUGUAAAUAAAAGUAAUUAGAGAACUCAGGAGUUAUGAAUUGAAGAACCUGGAGAACGAUGAAGAACGAACUAGAUGCUGCAAAAGUACAAUGUUGAGGAAGAUCCGACAGAUCCGGCUCCUCCUCCGCUCUCCUCUUCUCUCUCCCUAUUUUCUAGAUUACAACUAGAACUAACUAGAACUAGAAGUAGAGGAACUAGAACUAGAACUAGAUGAACUAGAACUAGAUCUAGAUGAACUAGAGGUAGAACUAGAAGAACUAGAGGGAUCCUCUCUACUUGGAUGAAGAAUUGAAACCCUAACUUUGAUUCUGUAGAAGAGGUAUGAUCUCCAGGGGCCAGGGGGGUCUGGUUUUAUAGUCCCUUCAAGUGAAUCUGGGCCGUCGGAUCAAACCGACAUUGAUCGUGUGGUUUUCCUUGAAGUAUUAGGUCGGUGGAGCAUUGUCCUGAAAGAGAGUCCUGAUUGGACUCUGGCUGAGGGCGGGCGCCCAAGAGACUAGGGCGGGCGCCCUGUGCCUGAGCCCUCUCAGCCUUUGCUUCGGUCUCGUGGCUUCUGGAGUCUUCUAGAUGAUAGAAAAUUGCGCGGCACGUUAAUAUCUCUAUGUAAACCCGACGUGUGGGCCUUUCUUCCAUAUUUCCUGAUAACCCCCUGCAGAAAUAGACAAACACCAAAACUCGUGGAAUUCUGUCAGAUAAAACCCUAAGUCUAGGUGUUGGUUGCAUUUGGAUCCUUUUCUAUGAUUAGUUGAUGGUUAAAUGUGAGCAUUAAGGACCGUCAACAGGCGGCGACCUAGGCCUUGCCGACCCAGGGGUCGACUGCGCGCCCCUCUUAACGGGCUUUAGGGGCGCCAGCCCCACCGAUGCCACUUUCUACUUCCGACUGGCAAAAAGAUGGCAAAGAUAAAAAGAAGAAAGAGAAAAACAAAAAAGAGGAUAAAAGCCUUGAGUAGGCACUUACCUCGCUUGGGGCGCAGCGCCCUUCUGGGAGCUCGGCGCUCCCUUGGUUCCGCGGGCUAUCAGGUAGGCGCCUGCCGCCGCCCCUAGGGUCGUGGUGGCCCCAACAGCUGUUCUGGCCUUCGGCGCCUCCGCCGAGACCUCCGCCUCCACCUCUAUCUCAGGACGAGGCUUGGUUGGGGCCUUCGGGCCCACGGGCGCUUCAGGCUCUCCAUCCGACGGCCUUGUUGAUAUUUGGGAACACAAUAAGGAAUUGAUCCGCAAGCGCACGGAUAUCGGUGAGCACUUCACCCGGGAGGUUAUCCAGAGUAUCGUAUUUAUUUUUUUACCACUAGGAGAAAGAGUGCAUCUGACUAACCCGGUCUAUUACUACUAACCCUUUAGGCAACAAAGAAUGUUUCUCGAUGUGAGUGAUAAAUAGAGAAGACUACAACCGUAAUCUCCUUCUAACCUUGGUAAGGAUGAUCUACUGUUCUAUUGUGGAGGCUAACAGAAUCUAGACACCACAAAGGAUGUUCAACACGCACCUAUAAACCCUAUCCUUCCUGCUAACGAGAUAUGGUCUGCAAAGGUAACUCGGAAAUGUCACGUUCCUCGCUACUACCACGGUCUAGCUAGUCAGGGAAUAUCUAUGAGUAUCCUAGCUUAAACACCACGUCUACGCUAGAGAUGAUUACUCUAAACUCUACGCGAAGAGAUUAAAGUAAACUCAUAAACCAAAGAACAAUAAAACAAGAACUUACUAGAAUUUAGAAGUCGAAAUACUGAAGAAUCCUAGGAGCAAGCCUCGAGUUAGGAGAACUUGAUCCCGCAGGUACAAGCUCGGAGUAGACACCGACAGGCCGGGCUUCCUCCGAUCUACACCUCCACUCUAUUUCUCUCAAUCUAGUAGAAACUAGAAGAUCUAUUUCUACUCACAUUGGUUGCUAAGCCUAAAAAGAAAUUUUAUUUAGAGAAGAGGUUUUCCUUCAAGGGCUCCCCUCAACUCUAUGAUAAACUUGUCUCCUCCAGGGGCUAGGGGGUCAUGUUUUAUAGUCCCCUCAAGUGAACGUGAGCCAUUAGAUCAAACCGACAUUGAUUGGACGGUUAUCCUUGAUCCUUUAGGUCGGUGGAACGUCGUGUGCGAAAAGAGUCCUGAUUGGCAUCGAACAGAGGGCGGGUGCCCAGGUCCUCAGGGCGGGCGCCCUGGGCCUGGCCGCUUUCGGCCUCUGCUUUCUUCCCGUGGCUUCUCGAGUCUUCUAGAUGGUAGAAAAUUGCGCGGUGCGUUGAUAUCUCUAUGUAAUCCCGACAUGUGGGCCUUUCUUAUUUCCUGAUAACCCCCUGCAGAAACAGAUAAACAACAAAACUCAUGGAAUCGAACCCUAAUUCUAGGUGUGGUUUGUAUAUUGGUCCUUUCUCUUGUUUAUUUGAUAAUUAAAAUUGAUACUUAAGAACCGUCAACAGGCCUCUCCCCACCUUGGGGACCCACGGGAACCGAACCCUCCUGAGGGGCUUCGUCCCCACCUUCGUCAACAAUGAUGUAGGGGGCGCCAUCUGUGCCCAAAGGAAUCCAUGACCCCCUUGGGGCCUCUGACCCCCCAAAGGCCUCUGUCCCCCCACCGAACAGGGGUACCUCUUCGUCAUCCUCCUCUUCUAGGAGCUCGUUCAGCCAGUGUGCGUCUUCCCCGCCCUCUAUCACCGAGACCGAAGCCUCAGAGGAUUCAGGCUCGGGGAGCCCCACCUUCUCAGCCUCACGAUGGCGCUUGACCAAGGCCUCCGCCUUCUUUGCCUUCUUUGCCUUCUUCGCUUUCUUAUUCUCCUUCAGGCGCUUCUGCUCCUCGUUCUUGGCCUGGUUCUGGGCCCAGAUCUCCUUGUCCUUUGGGACCGGGGGUAGGACGUAUUUGAUAAUGCCCAUCCCCUGCGAACAGAUGGCGACCCGAAUAAAAACCAAGGCAAAGAAGAGGAUGACAAAGCAGGGAUAGGGGUGGAGAUGUCUUACCAGAGAGAAGUAGUCCCUAUCAAGACGCAUCGUGAUGACCUGAUAAUUCUUCAACUCUAAGGACACCGUCCUCAAGACUCGGAGAUUGAUCUGUGAGGCGGGCAUUGGCUCCUCCAGCAUCCGCUUCCUGGCCAAGGGUGCAUUGGGGGUCAUCUCCCACAUGGGCAGCACCCGCUGUGCCAGCGGGAGGAGGCUUCGCUUGUGGAAAGCGACCACCACCGUGGCCGCAGUAACGCCCUCUCGCUGUAGCUUUGCGAGGGCCUCAAAGAGGGCACUCAAUAACCAUCUUCCCCGUGUACUCCAGGAGAAGGUCGUGGUCGUUUUGGAGGUAGAACCACCUGUUCUGCCACCCCCGGUCCGACGACGGCAUGAUGCUCCGGAUAUACUUGCUAGAGUGCGACUACCGGAGCUGGAGCGUGCAGCCACCGGUCCUUAAGGGCCUCUUCUCCCCACCCUCGUUGCGGGAGGACAUCUCCGCCUUGAAGAGGUGGAGCCAGAGGUUCCAAUGGGGAGGGAUCCCCAGGUACCCCUCGCACACCGUGGCGAAGACGGCCGCAUGCAUAAUCGAGUUGGGGUUGAAGUUGUGCAGCUCCACCUCAUAGUGGUGCACAAGGGUGCGCAUGAACCGGUAGGUUGAAAUCCUGAACCCCUGGUCUUAGAAAGACAGGAAGCAAACCACGUAGCCUAGCGGCAGGUUUGGCUCCCUAUCGUUCACCAGAGGCACGAGCUACUCUGGCAUUGUCUCGUCCGUGACAGGAUGGAGAAGUCCACCCGCCACACGGGCCUCCAGCGCCGCCUCCAUGACGUUGCAUGGAUGCCACAUGUCGUCGCCGGCCAUGGUUGGGGGCGGAAGCGGGUGCUUGCAAGGAGCUCGGUGGUGGUGAGGAGGUGACAGCAGGAGGCUUGGAGGCGUGAGUGUUUGGAGGCAAAGGUAAAAGGGGAAAGAACUAGAGACCCCGCGGCGGCUUUUAUAGAAGAGGCGUGCCACAUCCCGUCCUCCACGAAGCGGAUCGGGGAGGGGAAAAUAAACCGUCGGCCGCCUCAUUAACUAAGCAAGGUAACCAAGGCGUCCACCCUUUCCGAUUCCCAUGAUAACUGCACGCACGCACGCAUCAAUUUUGCAGGCGAAACGUCCUGUCUAGAUCGGGCGCAAUGGCGUGGUCGUUCUGGCUCCCAACACGAGUCGCCUCAAAAGGAGUGCCCCGCCAAUCAAGUUCGAGUGGUUCCUUCCAAGGUAAGGAGCGCCCGACACCCCUGCUACGCCCGAGCCGAUACCUCCUAAGGUAAAAAUCCCCAAGGCUAUGGCCUCUUACGUUCCAGAGGUUGUGAGACUGACCUUGUGGGGGUAUAAAACCCUAUACCCUUACGGCUAGACUUGGGCCAGGAGACUUGGUCCAUCACGAGACAAUUCGGGGCUUGAUCCAACUGCUUGGAGUUCCACACAAGGAAACAAGACGUGGAGAUCAAGCUGGAUUCUAGUCGAUUGGAAUAGGAAUUGAUAUCAUACUAUCUAUGGCAAUUGUAACCGACUAGGAUUAGUUUCCAGAUCUGUAACCCUGCCCUCUGGACUAUAUAAGGAGAGGCAAGGGACCCCCUAGGACAACUCAUCUCAACUCGACACAAUCCAAUACAAUCAGACGCAGGACGUAGGUAUUACGCCCACACGGCGGCCGAACAUGGACAAAAACCUUGUCUGUGUCUUGCGUCACCAUCAAGUUCGUAGCUUGCGCACCAUCUACCGAUAAACUACUACCGUGGGUAUACCCCAAGGUAGACUGCCGACUAGCUUUCGUCGACAGUGGCGCGCCAGGUAGGGGGUGUGCGUACAGCUCUCCCGACGAACAAGAUGGUCAUCGUUCCAGCUUCUGCGGCCGUGGCUGAAGGCCUCAUGUUCACCGUCGGCCAGAUCACUUGGACAACUCACGGCGGCGGCCUUGCGACCACGACUUCGGAAGAAACCCAGAUCCAAUCUGGGACAGCAGAGGCGUCGACUCCGAUCACGCCGACUCCGAGCACCCGACCUCCACUCCCUCGUUACAGGGCAAAGUGGGUCGACAACUCAGAUCUCCUCCAAGCCCUCGAUCGCGCCAACCUCAAGCUCCUCGAAGCCUCCAACCUGGUGGAUUCGAUUUCACGAAGGUCUGAUCAGGCGACAGCAACAAAUUUUUUCGACUACCGUCGACCAACUCGUGUCUCCACACACGAACGGCUAGAGACGUCCCUGACCAUAACAUCGACCACCGCGGGACGGACCGUAAGCUCAAGACAAGCCCUCCAGACCAGCAUUGCCUUUACAGUCUGAACAACGCGGCCGAUCAGUUUUCGCGGCAUACCCAAUCUCUAUUCAGGAAGGUAGGCUUGUCGUCAAGCCAAAACAGACAACCAACUCGUCACUUCGUCGAUAUGGUCUCCAUCCGCACCCUGCCAGAAGACAAGUCCAGCAGUACAAGCUCCAGCACAGGAUCUAUCCCCACCGAGGUUUUACACCCCAAGGACGAAGACUACGAUUUGAAUCCGCCGCCAUACCCGUCGGGGUUCUCUCGCUUCCCGGUCUUUCCACCUCGAUGAGGAGAUCUGGUUUUCAAUGUCAGUAAUGAUGAACCAGUUGUUGAUGGAGAAACUGAUGAGCAGAGACAGCAACGAGAGCAACGCAACACCGACCGUGCCCAACGAUGAGCAAACGAGGAACAACAGCUCGCCCCACAUAGUCUCAAUGAUGCUUUUGACAUGGUCGGAAAUCAGCAGGUCUACAAGACACCAAGCGCCAACAUGGCUGUCGCCAUGGCAAACUUGGAUCGCCUUCCCGAUGCUCCCGAAUAUCAGGACAUUCGAGCCAACAUACGGGCGCAUUUGAUCGUGGCCAUGGGACAGACCGCUACUCUGCUCAAAAGGGUUCAAGCCGUAUCCUAUACGGAGGUCACCUCCGACCAGACUCAUCACAGCCGCACCUCACCGCGAUCUGGCGGGCACCGUCGUAGCCGUUCACCCACCAAUAAUCGAAGGAAGGACACCCAUCGCGACAAUUGUGGUUGGGACGCCAGCAGUUACCACGAUCAAAGACGUGGACGUGGUCAGCAGGUGAACCAGGAUCGGGAUCUACGACACAACAUCCCCCCUAAGGAUGCCCGCGAACACAUCAACAGGCGCGCUACGGAACGAGCGGUACACGAAAACGUGUGACGCAUUGAAUACGAUGCAGCACAUGCCCCCCUGGCCUAAGACAGUUUUCCUCCCACCUUCACCAAGUCGUCUGGCCCCGCAACUUUAAGCUCGAGAAGCUUAAAAAAUAUGACGGCAAGGAGUACCCUGAAAACUGGAUCACUCUUUACGAGAUCGCAGUCCGAUCAGCAGGAGAAGAGGAGCACGUCAUGGCAAAUUACUUCCUAGUCGUCCUUGACCAAGCUGGCCAUCAAUGGCUCCUCGGCCUACCCGAGGAGUCCUUCGACUCUUGGGAAGAACUGCGCCAGGCGUUUAUUAACAAUUUCAUUGCUACCUGCGAGUAGCCUGGAAACAAAUACGAUCUCGAGAGGAUAAGGGACAGGAAAAAUGAGCCCUUGCGCGAUUACAUCCGACGAUUCUCAGAUAUGCGUCUUAAGAUUCCAAAAAUUUCUCACAACGAUGCCAUAUCAGCCUUCAUCAAAGGCCUAUGCUUCCAUGAAGCAUUAAGGAGUAAGCUACUACGCAAAAGACUGACCACGGUUGCCGAGCUCCUCGCCACGGCCAAAAACUACGCUGAUGCCGACGACGCCGAAAAACUCAUCCGAGAAGAUGCGAGAGGAGCCGACCAGCCUCCCCGGCAAGAUGAUAGCCGUGGACGCUUUGAUAACCAGAAUUCUCGACGCGGCGACAACCGAGAAGGUUGGGACAGGUGCCGCGACAACCGUGGUGAUUUCAGAGGCAAGCGACCUCGCGACAACGACCACGAGGUGAACACAGUCAAGCAUCCUAAUGGACGAAGGGACUAUCAGGAAGACUACAAUAAGACGCUGAAAGGACUGUGUCACCUCCAUCCCAAGUCCAAUCACACGAUGGAAGAAAGUUGUGUCCUCAAAAGCAUCUACACACAUCGGGUUGCUCAGGGGGAUUCCGUCAAGAAAAACAGGAAGCCGGAUAGACACGGCACGAAGACGAAGAUGAACCCACGACACCAGUAUGUCAGUCCCACCGACGUGGUGCAUUCCAUCUUUGGAGGCAAAGUUUCCAUCGAAUCUAAACGAGAAAGAAAGCUCCUGAAGAGAUCUGCACGCCUCAAUGUGGACAACACGGACGGCCUGAUCGCUGACCCAAAAUUCCCUCCCUGGUCGCAUAGAGAGAUCUCCUUCAACAGACAGGACCAGUGGGCCGCUAUCCCAGAACCAAGGCAUUUUCCUUUGAUCCUGGACCCUUGCAUCAACAACGUCAGGUUCGAGCGUGUGCUUGUCGACGGGGGCAGCUCCAUUGAUAUCCUUUUCUGCAACAGCCUGCCUGCUCUCAAGCUAACCCCGGCGCAACUGAAGCCGUAUGAUGCUCAGUUUUGGGGCGUCCUGCUAGGUCAAAGUUCAGUACCCCUCGGGCAGAUAACGCUGCCCAUCCAGUUUGGAACGCCACACCACUUUCGCAUAGAGUUCAUCAACUUUGUGGUCGCCGACUUCGACGGUACCUAUCACACAAUUCUAGGCCGCCCCUCGCUGACCAAGUUCAUAGCAGUUCCGCACUACUCAUACCUGGUCCUCAAGAUGCCAACCGAGAAAGGCGUCUUGACCGUCAGAGGCAACGUCUACACCGCAUACACUUGCAAGGAGAAAAGCUUCAAAGUUACCGAAGCAAUUGAUAUCUCGAUUCGCAUGGCAGAAACUGCAGUUCAAGCCGCGCAAGUUCCACCCGACCAGCUCCAACUACCCGAGCAAGAGACUCCAAGGAAGAGCUCCAAGUCCAAAGAGCACAAGGAAGUACAACUAGUCGACGGCAGCCCUGAGAAGACAGCUCUUAUCGGGGCCAACCUAGACCCCAAAUAGGAAGACGCGCUCGUCAGGUUUCUAAGGGACAACGUAAGUGUUUUCGCAUGGAAAGCCGCAGACAUGCCCGGCGUCCCACGAAACCUGAUCGAGGACUCCUUAAACAUCUCAAAGACCGCAAGACCUAUCAAGCAGAAACUACGACGGUUCGCUCAUGACAAAAAGGAGGCUAUUAGGAUAGAAAUAACACGGCUACUAGCAGCCGGAUUUAUUAAAGAAGUGUAUCAUCCUGAUUGGCAUGCCAAUCUAGUUCUUGUAAGAAAGAAGAAUAAUGAAUGGAGAAUGUGCGUUGAUUACACUGAUCUCAAUAAACACUGUCCUAAAGAUCCUUUCGGUCUCCCUCGUAUCGAUGAGGUGGUCGACUCAACGGCCGGAUGCGAACUCCUUUCUUUUCUCGACGGUUACUCUGGUUAUCACCAGAUCUCGCUAAAGGAAGACGACCAAAACAAAACUUCCUUCAUUAUUCCUUUCGGCGCAUAUUGUUACACCACCAUGUCCUUUGGACUGAAAAACGCUGGGGCCACCUAUCAACGCGCUAUUCAGCAAUGCCUCUGUGACGAGAUACGUGACGACCUCGUCGAGGCUUACGUGGAUGACGUUGUCGUCAAAUCCAGGGACGCGAGCACCCUGAUCGACAACUUGGACCUCACUUUUAAGGCGCUAAAUAAAUACAAGUGGAAGCUCAAUCCCAAAAAGUGUGUCUUUGGGGUCCCCUCUGGUCUACUGCUCGGCAACAUCGUCAACCGUGACGGCAUACAGCCGAACCCUUCAACAGUUAAGGCAGUACUUCAUAUGCGACCACCUAAGAACGUCAAAGACAUUCAAAAUCUCACCGGAUGCAUGGCUGCUGUUGACGGUCCUUAAAUACUAAAAUUAAUAAUCAAAUAAACAUGAAAAAGGAUCAAUAUGAAACAAACAUCUAGAAUUAGGGUUUUAUCUGACAGAAUUCCACGAGCUUUGGUGUUUAUCUAUUUCUGCAGGGGUUUAUCAGAAAAUAGGGAGAGAAGGCCCACAUGUCAUGUUUACAACGAGAUAAUUACGUGCCGCGCAAUUUUCCUCAAUCUAGAAGGAUCCAGAAGCCACGGGAACGAACGGGACGCGAAUCGGGCUCGGGAGCUGGGCGGCCGCCCACCCCCCUUGGGCGCCCGCCCUGGCCAGGAAGCCAAUCAGGACUCUGUUUCGGGACAACUCUCCACCGACCUAAAGGAUCAAUCUAAACCAUACAAUCUAUGUCGGUUUGAUCCAAUGGCUCACGUUCACUUGAGGGGACUAUAAAACCAGACCCCCUGGCCCCUGGAGGAGAGGAGGAGAAAUCAUUAUUCAGAGGUAGCCAUCAAAGUUAGGGUUUAGAGCUUCUCUCCCACAGAGAAUUAGAAUUAGCUACUCCCUAAUCCUUCAAGUUUAGAGGUUGAUUAGAUAGCAAUUAGAGAAGUAGAGCACUACGCUCUGGAUUCGGAUCUUCGGUAAUAAAGAUUGGUAUUAUUCAUAUCUUUCUCUAAUUCUAUUGUUCUAAUUGCAUUAUGUCUUUAAUUAUUAUGUUAUUAGUUUGCUCUAGUUCUAUAUUUGAUAUAGUUAUGAUUGAUAAUGAGUUUAUGUAUAAGUUUGCAAAGCGCUUAGCUCUUGUCGCGAGGGAGUUAAGUGAUAGAUCACAUGUGAGCGUGGUGCUUAGAUGUUAUUUAUCUGCAAAUGUAUCCUAUUGGCCGAGUCGUGUGGUAGUUCGCGAUAGUGACAGCUUCGUUGAUUCUUAUAUAGUCCACCCUCCGUUGAUAGGACAGGCAGAACCGGUAUUGUGGAGUAAGUCAUGCGAUGUUCUGAUUUACUUUAUCAAUGUUCCUUAUACAUGAAUGAAGAGUCUUUUAUGCUAUAUAUGAUCUUGUAGAUAACUAGAGUAGAUUAUGACUUAGUAGUUAGUAGAUAACUUAGAAUCCAUUCUCUAGCUAAUCCGACAUCACCUACAUAUAUGAGGAGUAGUCUAUUUUCUAAUCGCUGUGUUAUCUACCCAUGAACUUAUACUUUAUUAUCAUUAUCUUUAUGGUUUACCCCCUGCUAAAGUAUGUGACUGUGUGAUGAGUUUCUCAUUAGUAAUCAUGUUCUUGCAAGUUUAUCUCUAGUCUAUGCCUUGAUAGAUUUUGCCCCCUUUUAUUUUAAUUCCAUCUUCUUGAGAUCCCCUAAGCAAAAUUAUAACGGUACCUGGAAUACUUAUCCUGGUGAAAUGCUACAAUGAGGUGUUUUAUCUGUGCGCUUGCGGAUAGAAUAAAUUAUUUUCUAGAGAGCCUUUACAUUUAUAAAUACCUUUGUACACUCUGGCGCCAUGCUAGGGAUGACAACCUAGUAUCUAAGUGGUGUUAGCUAGUGUCAACAGCUGCUCUCAGCCGGUUUAUCUCUAGCCUGGGGGAAAAAGGCCUCCACUUUUUCAAACUUCUAAAAGCAUCGGAAAAAUUCUCCUGGAUAGAGGAAGCUAACGCUGCGUUCACCCAGCUCAAAACUUUCCUCACCUCUUGUCGGUGUUUUCCCCACGGGGGGUCACACCAACGAGUAAAUUUGUAUGCGUGCUCCCUUUCCUAGAUGGUGAUGCAAGAAGACACAGAGAUUUAUCCUGGUUCAGGCAAGAGAAGGCCCUAAGUCCAGCGGGGGAGGAAAGUUUGUAUUAUCUUGCACCUAAGUGCUUGUACAGGGGCGAAUACAAGCGUGGUAUGGAGUAUGGGAGUUCUACUGCGUAUGGGUGUAGUGUUGCCUGUGUCUUAUCUAUUCCCGGGUCCUUCCUUUUAUAGCACCAAGGAGAGACCCAGGGUACAUGUGUAGGUGUCAGAGUAGGGGUCGAUAGAAGCAUGGCGCGCUGACCUACUCGAGGCCUCUGUACCAGCGUGGUCUCGAGCCGUCCCGUCUCGGCAGCUUGGUGAUGAUCACGCCUGCUCCUGUAUCCUGCUCUGCGCGCCGUCUCGGGCUGGUUCACCGGUCGCACGCUUGUACGGUAUGGCGGCAGAUCCGGCGGAGCGGUUGCGGUGUUGUCAGUCGACGCUCAACUUGUCUCCAAGAAGGAAUCAUGUCUGGUCGAGGGUUGAACGCUGUGCAACGCCCUGAUAUCCGUAGCGCUGACCUUGGUUGUCUCGAGGGGGUCCUGAUUAGACGUUCCAUUCCUGUUUCCCGCGUCCUGACAUGCCCUGGGUCGUUUGGUGGGGAAGGCUGCAAAAAGAACGACGGGACGGGUGCCUGUUCCCUACCACGCUUCCCGUGAUCAGCGCGUUAGGUGGGAAAGCGACAGGUGCAUUAAAUGCCCUGGCUCUCGUGCGUGCGUCAGGCGGCGGGCGGCGUCCUUGCGCUCGACGCCUCCUGGAUCGCGCGAGCCCGUUUCCGUAUUCGACGGUAGCUGGUGCUCGACCCCUGAUCGAUUCGCUCGACGCCAUUUCCGUCUUCGAGGCUGCGUUCGUCGACGACCGCGCAUAUGUAUAACUAGAGCGUCGGGUCGAGGGCCUUGACCCGCGUAUGGGUAAUCUCGUUAUGUGCAUCGGUGAGGGUACCCCUUACUGAUACCCUCAACAGUAGCCCCCGAGUCUCCAUUUGAGCGAUGGCGCUCGAGUGGAGGGUCUGUUUUGCGAUCGAAUUUCCGUGGGGGCGCGCGAGCAACCCCGCGGGGGUAGCCCCCGAGCCCCUGGAGGAGUUUUUGACUCCUUCGAGGGUUAUAUUGCCUAAUUCGUAGAAGCGCCGUCGACACCAGUGGUGGAGGGUUCGGAUUGGCUCGUUUUGUGCGGAGGUUUCGACGUACUCUCGAUAGAGCGAGCGUCGUCCACCCCAAAUUGAGUUCAUAGUGGGUAGUCCAAGUGAGAACCUGUGCCCCUUUCGAGGGGGUCAGCUGUAGCCCGGAGGCGUUCUCAUAAAGCAGGGUCGACGUGGUCGGGGAUACUGGUCUCAUUCGAUAGAGUCCAGCGGCUUGACGCCUCCCGUCGGGGGGAUUCCUCUCGACUGUCUCGACCCUACCUUGGACAUCGCCAGCGAGUCUUCGAGGCGGGCCUCGAUCUUCGACCGCUCGCUGGGGAUCCCUGACUCUGGUGCUCGAGAUCGGCUGUCGAACCCUUUCGGUGGGCCAGCCAUCGACCUCUCGAGACUCUCGUGGGCGCAUCCCUUGGCUUACUAGGUAAGGAAAGAGCCGCGACGGUUCGCCUUUUUGCCUGUUGGGCGCGUCUUUUUAGGUGGAGACGUUACAACACUACGUCGACGUGGGAUUCGGAGCGCCCCACCUGUGAGGAGGGAAAGGACUGUUAGAUGGCGCAUUUAUGGGGGGAGUUACCUCAUUUCUCGGAUCUAUCCGUUGGCGGACUGCUGCCUAUAAAUACGCCGUGGCGUCGCCGCCGUUCUUUCUUCCACCUUCCGCCUUCUUGCCUUCGUCCUUUCGUUGCCUUAGCUCCCUUGUUGUCUCACGCGCGCGCGCAUCCCCUCGAGCGGUAGCGGAUCCACCGUCCUUCCGGCCAAGAUGCCUGUGAGGCUCGUCGCCGCCGACGACUGGCGCCCGUCGUCGAUAACGGAGCGCCGGUUGCUAGAUCUUGAGAGAGAGGGACUCCUGCGACGCCGCACCUCGCUGUCAUCGCCGGAGUGGAUUGCGCCGCCGGCGGGCCACAGGGAGCACCAGCCGCCAGAGGGCUACGUGGUGUCGUUCGCCAAAUUCCACCGAUACGGCCUCGUCGCUCCCCCGAGCCGCUUCAUGCGGGCACUCUGCCUCCACUAUAGGGUGGAGCUUCAGCAUUUCUCCCCGAACGCCAUCACCGUCGUGGCGGUCUUCGCCGUGGUGUGCGAGGGCUACCUCAGGUUGAUGCCCCACUGGGAGCUGUGGCUCCACCUCUACAGGGGCGAGCUUUUCAACGCCCCCACCGGAACCACUGGCGUGAGGAAGCAUGUGCGGGCCGGGUGCCUUAACCUGGUGCUGAAGACGAAGAAGACGGAGAGGCCACGCGAGUACAUCCCGGUGGGGUUGUCAUCGAACCACGCCAGAUGGGACUCCCAGUGGUUCUACCUGAGGAACGACGACGGUCUCUUCCCUGCUUACACCGGUCGUCUGAUUACGGAGCGCCCGGACAACUGGACAUACGGCGUCGUCCAGGAGCACCAGUCGCGGCUCGACCCCCUCCUCGACGCCCUGAAGAAGCUACGCCUGGAGGGCCUGUCCGCCGCUCUCGUCCUCUCGGCCGUCCAUCGUCGCAGGGUCCUCCCACUGAUGUCUCGGCCGCUGAGGAUGGAUGAGAUGGGGCCGGGCGUUUCGUCCCGAGAUCUCGAGGCAUGCCGGAUGUCCAACGAGGCUCUGGCAGACGAUGAAACCGCUGCUCGGGUUAGGGCGGCCAUCGCCAGCGACUUUAAGUUGGAGCAUGUCAACGACUUCCCUAUGAGGCCCGACGAAGGCUCGAUCGACCUGGUAUGCUCUUCUCUCGCGCAUAGCUCUGAUUCUGGAUUUCCCUCGAUCCUUUUUAAGCCUACCUUUGUUCUAGCAGGGACGCAUUGAUGUCCGGUCUUCGAGGCCCCCUGUGAAGGAGGACGAGGUCGACCGCGACAGACGGCGCUAGUCCGCCGAGAAGCUGAAGUCCGCCAAGGACUCUGCAAAGAAAGGGGAGAAAAAGAAGAACCUCGACCGCCAAGCAUUAGAGGCGCGUCGAGCUAAAUCCAGGCAGAGGGGGGAGCCUGAGGAAGAAUCCCCUAGCGACGACGACGAUGAUGACGAGGACAGCGACGACUCCGAGGGGACGGCGUCACGCCUUGACCGGAUCCUCGAGGGUCCGCCUCGAGGCGACGUCGACGCCCCCCAGAUGGAAACUCCAAAGGAGGGUCCUGGCGGAUCUCACCGCCCUCGGGCCGACACCCCUCCUGCGCUCAUGGCUGGUCAGCUCGCGCCGCGCCCUCCUCCAGCGCCUAGGGGGGCGGCCAUGCUAGGCCAUAGGCGACGGGGCCACUGACUCGUGGUCGCACCGCGGCCUCCGAGAAAGGAGAGGCCGGCCGCAGGAGCGCCAGUCCCGGUGCCCGUCAAGCGGGAGUUGCUGCGCCAAGGCCAGCGCCUGCCCUCGAGGGGCCUGGAGCCUUGACACAGGGUGGCUCGAGGCCCACCGGUCGGGGCGCCGGGAGGUGAGCUGUUCUCCUUGUGGGGUAAGCUUCUUCGAUACUGUGACUUUUGUUUUCCCGUUCCUCUGCAUUUUCUCGUAUGCCGAUCUUUUUACGCUCAUCCCUUUCUUUUCUCCGGCUAAAGUGGACACUCGAGCAGGCCCAGCCUUCAAUGGCGAAAAGGCUCAAAGCGGGAGCAGUCUCCAAAGAGCCAGGUUUGUAGCUUACUUCUGGUCUCGUGACGUUCUUGCAAGCCUUUAUUCUUCUUUUUGCAGGCUCGUCCGACUCUCAACCUCCGGCCGACGCCAAGAGUGCUCCGCCUCGUCCCGAGCCUACCCCGUUGCCGUCGACGCGUGGCGAAGCGCCCCAAACUCAGGUGCAAGAAGGAGCCCCCGAGCCUCCUCGAUUGGGGGUUGAGGCGGACCCCAUCACCAUCAGCGACACGUCUGGCGGUAACGAGGCGUCUGGGGAUGCCCGCCCUAUGGAGGAGGAGGCGUCGACCUCCCUCAUCGCGGGACGGACUCCCUGGCCCGCCGGCCUUCGAGGAGCAGAAGAAGAAAGAGGAGGGGGAGGAGGAGCGGGAGCACGAGGCAAUGCGGCAGCCGCAAGAGCAGCAGCAGCAACAGCAGCAGCAGGAGGAGGAACAGCAGCAGCAAAUGCUCGAGGGGCAGCAGCAGCAACAUCAGGGGGGCCAAGAAGAGGGACCCAUCGAGCCCCCACCUCACGGUCUGCCCCAACCAGUACCACCGGUGCCGCAAGAGCCCGGCGAGCAGGAAGAAGAUUUGCCGGUGUACGGCCCUCCAACCCCAGCGUGGCUCCUUCCGGGGGCACCUGCCGCGAUCCGGGCAGAGCCGGGGCGAGCGGACGGUGUGGUGGCACUCGCCUGCAUGAUGCGCACCCCCGCCGACCCCGAGUCCGAGAUCAGGAGGACGAUCUACUGCAUGGAUGGGAUCACCCCAGGGUUCCUCCAGGAGCGUCGGGAGUGGGAGGACCGCUUUCCCUCUGAGGAGGACGAGAUCAGGACGUCGAGGAGUAAGGACGGUACCUGGAAGACGGUGGACGACGACGGGCGGUUCCCAUGCCUCGUCGACCUGUUCUUGCGUCAUGGGGGCUCCCUCGAGACCGUCGAGGACCUUAUCCGCGGUGUCAAGGCGCGGGCUGACCGAGAGAUGGAGCACUGGUGCCCCGAUCGGAUCCGCAUCCGGGCUUCCACCGAUCCGUCCGAGCCCAACAUCUUCCUGGACGACAGGAAGGAGGCGAAAAAAUGGGAACACAUCGAGGAGCUCCGCCUUUGGAUGAAGCACGUGGUGGGGCUCCUAUCGGACGUCAUCAACAACGGGCUCGGGCCGGCCUACUUCGUAAGUAUUUUUUGGUCCUUAAUUCUCAUAGAUCCUUUGGUUUUGUGUUCUAAUCGUUCGACCCUCGGCUCGUAGGACAUGAAAGAGACCUCCCGUAUCAAGUCGAGCUUCCUUCAUGCCACAAGAGGAGGCUGGGAGCAGCUCCCCGUCCUCAAGGACCAACUCCUCGAGUCGCAAGAAAAGCUCCUUAAGGCCUAUAAAGACCUCAUAGCGCUCGAGGAGGAGAAGAAGGCGAGGGAGGCUGCCUUGGUCGAGGCUCGAGAGGCCUCAAGGAAGGCGGAGGAGGAGACGACGCUGCUGCGGGAGCGGGCUCUGACAGUCGAGGAGGCCGCAUCCAAAGCCCGGGAGGAGGCCCUGUCCUACAAGAAUGUCAUUGUCGAUCUGGACAAGGAGAAGGGCCUUCUCAAGACCAACCUGGACUCCCUCCGAGAAUCCUUCCAAAAGAUGAAGGUGGCGUAUGUGGACAACGAGGUCGCCAGGGGUGCCGCAGAGGACGCAAAGAAGAAGGCCCUCAAAGACCUCGAGGCGGAGCGGGCUCGAUCCCGCAGGCUCUCUGACGACGUCGAACGUCUGAAAGGAGAGCUGUUGGAGAAGAGUGGGGCCAUUGCUCAGGCUGGUAAGGUGAUCGAGGAUCUCCGCGUUGCUAACACUGAGCUGGCACGGUCCAACAAAGAGAUCGAGAGGGCCAACACCAGACUGGUCGGCGAGAACACGGCCCUGGAGGAGAGUGUCCGCGGUACGUUUCCUUUGUCGGAUUUCUUUUUCGAGGUGUUCUUGGUUUUUCCUAAAGCUUCUUGUAUUGGCAUUUACAGGGCUUAAGGACGAACUCUUAGCCGCCCAAGUCGAGGCCCGUAGUGCUAAGGCCCAGCUCGAGGCGGAGGUUGCUUUGAACCGUCGAGUGCGGACGGCGAUAAAUGACCUCUCGACCUCUUGGGAGGUCGAGCCUAUGGACGAGUCGAAGGAGGACGCUCGAGGCGACGCACUGGUCGACCAGCUGUGCUAUUUUGGCGCGAUGCUGAGAGAUCGGGUGCGGGAUGCCCUCCACAUCGGGGUGAAGCGGGCGAUGGUGGUUGUCUGCUCGGGCUUCUCCUACGACAUGGAAGUGGUGUCCCACGGCUUCGUCACCGAUAUCUCUAAGACCGACGCGGAGAAUGAAGAGAGGCUCCACGCCUUGAUCGACGACGCGGAGGCUCCUGGAGAGAGGCUGGCCAAGCUUUUUGAGCCUGAGGUGCUUCCUCCUGAGACUAGCUCGGGCUUAGGUGAGGGUGGUGAGGAUCGUGCUGAAGACUGAGGCCUGCGAGCCUGCUUAGGGUGCCUGGGGCCCCUUGUAUGAUACUCUGUUAACUUUUCUAUAAGUAGUACAAUGUCUUUUUGUGACUGUUUAAUGUUUAUCUAUCUUCCCGCUCGAGGUUCUUUUAUUUCUCUUUGCGCCUGCGUAUGUACUCCUUGUUCGAUCUUUCAUAAAAAACAACCUCGAUCAUCUCAAGGGUGAGGAAGUGAGUAGAGUUUCCAUAUCCCGGGGGCGUAGGAGUUCUCAGGCUCGUUAUCCCUCGGCCCUUAAGGGGCUCGAGGCGCCUCAAUUACUCGAUCGUGCAAGGUUUACUGAGUAAGGAAGAAAGAAUUUCUUGGCUUUUUCGACACUUGGGGGGGGGUCGCCCCCCUGGUAGCCCCCGAGGGGGUACCGACUAUGAUGGGUCAUAGUUGGUACUCCCUUCUAAUGUCAAGAUUUGGAAGAAAGUAAAUCGCUUGAGGGAAAGGCUUCAUUUAUUCAUACAUUCGUUUACAAGGCCUUGGUACAAAAUGUGCGUAGGAACAUAAAGUUGUGAACUUCUAGGGGUAGAAUCGACGUAGCUGUUCGAUGUUCCACGCGUUGGUGAAGAUCGCCCCCUUUCCGUCCGCGAGCUUGUAUGUCCCUGGCUUCAAGACCUCGGCCACCACGUAUGGGCCCUCCCAUGGUGGAGUCAGCUUGUGGCGUCCUUGAUUGCUUUGCCGCCGUCGUAGGACAAGGUCGCCCACGUUUAAGUCCCUUUUGCGCACGUGCUUGUCGUGGUAACGUCGAAGUUUCUGCUGAUAUCUGGCAGAGUUGAGGAGGGCCAUGUCUCGAGCUUCCUCGAGUUGGUCGACCGCGUUCUCUUGGGUCUCCUUAUUUGAUUGCUCGUUGUACGCUUUGAGUUGGGGGACCCAUACUCGAGGUCCGUGGGGAGGACAGCCUUAGAGCCGUAGACCAUGAAAAAUGGGGUGUAUUUUGUGGCCCUGCUUGGUGUUGUCCUUAGGCUCCAUAGGACCGAGGAAAGCUCCUCGACCCACUUCUUGCCGAAUUUCUUCAAGCGAUUGUAGAUCCUUGGCUUGAGUCCUUCCAAAAUCAUGUCGUUGGCACGCUCGACCUGACCGUUAGUUCGAGGGUGGGCUGCAUACCAGUUCACACAGAUGUGAUGCUGAUCGCAGAAGUCCAAGAACUUUUUGCCGGUGAACUGAGUGCCGUUGUCGGUGAUGAUGACGUUGGGAAUCCCAAAUCGGUGGAUGAUGUCGUUGAAGAAAAGGACGGCCUGCUCGGAGCGGAUGUUGGUGAUGGGUCGAGCCUCGAUCCAUUUGGAGAAUGUGUCGAUGGCCACCAUCAAGUGGGUGUACCCUCCUUUCGCCUUUUGUAGGGGCCCUACUAAGUCGAGCCCCCACACCGCAAAUGGCCAUGUGAUGGGAAUCAUCUGAAGAGCGUGGGCGGGCAGAUGCGUCUGUUUGGCGUAGAACUGGCACCCAUGACAUGAGCAUACGAGCUCGAUGGCAUCUGCUACAGCCGUUGGCCAGUAGAAGCCUUAUCGGAAGGCGUUCCCUACGAGGGUCCGUGGAGCAGCGUGGUGGCCGCAAGCCCCCGAGUGUAGGUCCUCGAGGAGUUUCCGGCCUUCUUCCACGGUGAUGCAACGCUGCAGGACCCCCGUCGGGCUUCGUCGACUCAUUGCCCUCGCCAUAGAUCACGUACGACUUGGCCCAUCGAGCGAUACGGCAGGCCUCAGACCGAUCUUCUGGCAGCUCGCAGCGAAUUAGGCAGUCGAGGAACGGUGUGCGCCAGUCGAACGGUCGACCGAGGCGCUGUUCUACUUCCAUCACCUCAGCCGCCAUCAACAGCGUGUCGACGGUAUCGGUUGGCUGAGCAGGAGCGGUGUCGACGCCAGCCCCCGAGCCCAAGUCGACGGAUGGCUCGUGAAGAUCUCUCGAGAGCGCGUGAGGUGGUACCGUGCCUCGGGUUGACGCGAUCUUGGCGAGUUCGUCGGCUGCCUCGUUGUAGCGUCGGGCGACAUGGACGAGCUCGAGGCCAUGGAAUUUGUCCUCGAGUCGACGGACUUCUUUGCAGUAGGCCUCCAUUUUCGUGUCGUGGCAGCUUGAAGUCUUCAUCACUUGGUCGAUGACGAGUUGGGAGUCGCCUCGGACGUCGAGGCGUCGGACUCCUAGCUCGAUGGCGAUCUUGAGACCGUUGACGAGGGCCUCAUACUCUGCGACAUUGUUGGAUGCAGCAAAGUGAAUCGUGAUGACGUACCUCAUAUGGACGCCCAAGGGAGAGAUGAACAGCAGGCCAGCCCCGGCCCCCGUCUUCAUGAGUGACCCGUCGAAAUACAUCGUCCACAGCUCCGACUGGACCUGAGUCAGGGGAAGCUGGGAGUCUGUCCAUUCCGCGAUGAAGUCUACCAGAGCUUGCGAUUUGAUGGACUUGGGAGCUCGACCGACCAUUUAGCUAUUCUUCCUAUGGCCUCCUUACUCUGGAUUAUCUCACCCAGGGGGAAAGACGAGACCACCGUGAUAGGGUGAACGAGGAAGUAGUGCUGCAGCUUACGGCGGGCGAGGAUUACGGCAUAGAUCAGCUUCUGGAUUUGGGGGUAAUGUGCCUUGGUCUCCGAGAGCACCUCGUUGACGAAAUAUACUGGCCUCUGGACUGGCAACGCAUGCCCCUCCUCCUGCCUUUCGACCACCACCGCUGCACUGACAACCUGGGUCGUCGAGGCAACGUAAAGGAGCAGUGGUUCCGUAGGUUGAGGUGGGACUAGGACUGGUGCUAAGGUCAGUGUUUUCUUCAGAUUUUCGAGGGCUCCCUCAGCCUCGGGGGUCCAAGAAAAACGCUCGACCUUCUUCAGGAGUCGAUACAGCGGUAGCGCCUUUUCUCCUAAUCUCGAGAUGAAACGGCUCAGCGCCGCUAGGCAUCCCGUGACUCUCUGCACACCUUUGAUGUCUCGAAUCGGCCCCAUCCUUGUGGUGGCCGAGACUUUCUCGGGGUUGGCCUCGAUGCCACGCUGGGAAACAAUGCAGCCCAAGAGCAUGCCUCGAGGCACACCGAAAACGCAUUUCUCGGGAUUGAGCUUGAUCUGGUUGGCGCGUAAGCAGCUAAAAGCGAUCUCGAGGUCCUGGAUCAGGUCUCCUUGACGCUUUGAUUUGACGACUAUGUCGUCGACAUAGGCCUCGACCGUCGACCCUAUAUGCUUGCCAAAUACGUGGAGCAUGCAGUGUUGGUACGUGGCUCCAGCAUUUCGAAGCCCAAACGGCAUCGUUACAUAGCAGUACAUCCCGAAAGGUGUGAUGAAAGAGGUCGCGAGCUGGUCGGACUCUUUCAUUUUUAUUUGAUGGUAACCAGAAUAUGCAUCAAGAAAAGAAAGGGUUUCACAUCCCGCAGUAGAAUCAACAAUUUGAUCAAUACGUGGUAACGGAAAGGGAACUUUUGGACAUGCUUUAUUUAAACUCGUAUAAUCGACACACAUCCUCAUUUUCCCAUUCUUUUUCUUAACUAGUACAGGGUUUGCUAACCAGUCCGGAUGAUGAACCUCCUUGAUGAAUUCGGCCGAUAAAAGCUUGUGGUCCUCCUCGCCAAUGAUCUUGCGCUUCUCCUCGUCGAAUCGGUGCAACCGUUGCUUUACUGGCUUGGAACCGGCUCGAAUCUCCAAGGAGUGCUCGGCGACUUCCCUCGGUAUGCCUGGCAUGUCCGAGGGACUCCAUGCAAACAUGUCGGCGUUCGCACGGAGAAAGUCGACGAGCACAGCUUCCUAUUUGGGGUCGAGGUCGGCGCUGAUCGUCAGCACCUUGCCGUCGGAGUUGUUGGGGUCGAGCGGGAUCUUCUUGGUUCCCUCUACUGGCUCGAAGCCGCCCGCGUGGCGUUUGGGCUCUGGAGCCUCAGCGGCCAGGGCCUCGAGUUUUGCGACGAGCUCGGUGGAGUCCUUGACCGCCUCCCCAUACUCGACGCACUCGACGUCGCAUUCGUAAGCAUGCUCGAAGGAGGAGCUGACAGUGAUGACGCCUUUGGGACCGGGCAUCUUCAGCUUCAAGUAGGUGUAGUUGGGUAUAGCCAUGAACUUGGUGUAGCCCGAGCGCCCGAUGAUGGCGUGGUACGUGCCCCGAAACCCGAACACCUCAAAGGUGAGGGUCUCCUUCCUGAAGUUGGUCGCCGUGCCAAAGCAGACCGGUAAGUCGAUUCGACCUACUGGCAGCGCCUUUUUCCCUGGCACAACGCCGUGGAAACCACCGGCGCUUGGUUGAAGCCGUCCCCUGUCGAUGCCGAGGAGGUCAAGGGUCUCGAGGUACAUGAUGUUGAGGCUGCUGCCUCCGUCCAUUAGCACCUUCGAGAGCCUUGUAUUGACGAUGAUGGGGUCGACGAUGAGCGGGUAGACGCCCGGGGCAACCACCUUGUCGGGGUGAUCCUCUCGGUCGAAGGUGAUGGGUGUGCUCGACCAGCUGAGGUACUGGGGCACCGCCAUUCUUGCCGCGAAGACCUCACGGCGUUCCCUCUUGCGCUGCCUUGCAGUCAACUGCGUCGAGGGCCCACCAUAGAUCAUGUAGCAGUCGUGGACAGCAGGGAAACCAUCGUCGUCCUUGUUGCCCUCCUUGUCGCUGCCCUUCUCCUUCUUGGGGUCGUCGCGCGCGUCCUUUCUGAACCCCAGGCUGUCGAAAUGCUUUUUCAGCAUACGACAAUCCUUGAGCUUGUGGUUGGCUCCUCCUUUGUGGUAAGGUCAUGGUUCCUCUAGCAUCUUAUCAAAAAUACCUCCAUCUGGGGGCCUCGAGGCUUCUUCCGCUCCAUGGCGGCGACGAGGACGUCGUCGAAGUUCUCCUGCUUGAACUGCCGCACCUUCUGCUUCUUCUUGUUCUUCUUGAGCCCUUGACUGGGGGUCCCGUCUUCAUCGGCAGGCUGCUUGCCUUUCCUUCCUUCACAACCGAAGAAGGCACCGACUGCUUUCUCCCCUGCUGCGUAGUUUGCCACUACGUCCAUGAGCUCAUCGACGGUCUGAGGUCGGUUCCGACCCAAUUCCCGCACCAAGUCUCGACUGGUGGUACCAGAGACAAAUGCCAGGAUGACGUCGUGGUCAGGGAUAUGUGGCAGCUCGGUGCGCUGUUUUGAGAAGCGUCGAGCAUACUCUCGAAGAGUUUCUCCUGACUUCUGUUUGCACUUGCUGAGGUCCCACGAGUUCCCGGGCCGUAUGUAGGUCCGUUUGAAAUUACCCUCGAAGACUCUAACCAAAUCGACCCAGUCGUGGAUCUGAUUGGCUGGGAGUUCCUCAAGCCAUCGACGGGCGGUGUCGGAGAGGAAGAGCGGUAGCUGUCUGAUGAUGGCUCGAUCAUCUCCUCGAGCGCCUCCUAGCUGACAGGCUAACCUGAAGUCUGCCAGCCACAGUUCUGGUUUGGUUUCACCAUUGUAUUUUGCGAUGCUGGUUGGGGGUCGGAAUGGACUGGGCAGGGGUGUGCUGCGGAUUGCUCUACUAAACACCCGUGGGCCUGGUGGCUCGGGGGCAAUCCGGUCCUCGUCGCUGUCGUACCUCCCACCGCGAUGCGCGCUGUAAUCGCGCUAUUCCGCGUCCCCAUACUGACGGCGUCGAUUCUCUUCGAUGUCAUGCCGCGUGUCGUGUCGACGCUGAUUGUCGAUAGGGAGGACGAGAGUGGUCUUUCUUCCUCGAGGAGGUGGCUGUUGAUGGACUGACACCUCCUUUUCGUUUUGGGGUGGCUCAUCGCGCUUUUCAGUGGCGGCUCCUCGUCGUCGAGAAGCUGAGCUUUCGGCUUGUUGAACCGCCGCUACCUGGAGCAGAGUCUGCACCUCGUCUCGAAUGCGUCGAGCUUGGGAGUUCGAUGGCUCUGGCAUGUUGCGUAGCAGCAUUGUUGCUGCCACUACGUUUUGGCCUGCUCGUGGGAAGCGGCUGACAGGUUGCUCUGGUUCCGCGUCUCCGACGAUUUGCCGGUGUACCUCUCGAGCUCGCCUACGGACACUUCCGCCGGGCGGGUAAGGCAAGUCUUGUUUGAGGAUUUGCUCGAGCACGACGAGGCGCUCACGGUCUUCGUCGAGCUUUGUCUUGAGCUCUCGUAGCUGCGCAGCCCUGUCUUCCUGUGGAAGGGGGUCGACCUGUCCGUCGUUCCCAGGCGUCCUGGGGUCUUCCCUUGCUGCAGGGACUCGACCGCCGGCAGCAGCAUCCUGUGUCUCGUCGGUAGUUUCUACCGCCCCGUCGAUGUGAUAGCAUUCCCUAGUUGGGUCGUAGCUAUCGGUCUCGGAGUCGGAGUCCGGCUUGGCGGCGUAGAAACAUCCACGUCCCUCCUCCAGCAGCCGCUGUCUGAGUGAGGUGAUCGUGUACCGUCCAGGGCCUAGGCGACGGAGGCCUCGUACCUGGGAGAAAUCCGGCUAUUCGGACGUCGGCCGCUGCAUCUCAGAGUUACGUGGGAGGACCAUUGGUCUUUCCACGUACGUCUGGGCGUUCAGGCAUAUCGCUCUGGCGAGCGACGCCGCGGCGUUGUCCAACCCGAAUGGCAGUGCCCUUCCUGGGGUGACCAACCCGUGUGGAAGUAAUCUGGCGGCGGGGGAGAGCGCGCGGGGCACGUCACCUCUUGUCGUCGUGUGAUGCUGAGCCGGCACGUCCACGGUCCUGGCUCGCGGUGUUACCGGCUGCUGCGUCACCUCCUGCCUAGCACGAACAGCUGGUCGUGACGAGACAGAGGGGCGACGAUGAUACUGCCCACGCCUCUUCUUGGGCGGGGAGGCAUGAUGGCGAGGGCGUCUCGGGGCCCUCAACCGUGCUGGCGCAACGCGGGCUCCUCCUGGUCCUUUGAUCGAGAGCAAGAUCAUGUCAUAGCCAGAGCCGGUCGACAUGAACUCAAGACUCCCGAACCAAAUCACGGUGGAGUGCGGGAUCGGCGAAACGGGAGUGGCCAUCUGGAAAGGAGUGGGAAAUUGAUGAAAAACACGCAGGACCCCUACCUGGCGUGCCAACUGUCGGUGUUUUCCCCACGGGGGGUCACACCAACGAGUAAAUUUGUAUGCGUGCUCCCUUUCCUAGAUGGUGAUGCAAGAAGACACGGAGAUUUAUCCUGGUUCGGGCAAGAGAAGGCCCUACGUCCAGCGGGGGAGGAAAGUUUGUAUUAUCUUGCACCUAAGUGCUUGUACAGGGGUGAAUACAAGCAUGGUAUGGAGUAUGGGAGUUCUACUGCGUAUGGGUGUAGUGUUGCCUGUGUCUUAUCUAUUCCUGGGUCCUUCCUUUUAUAGCACCAAGGAGAGACCCAGGGUACAUGCGUAGGUGUCAGAGUAGGGGUCGAUAGAAGCAUGGCGCGCUGACCUACUCGAGGCCUCCGUACCGGCGUGGUCUUGAGCCGUCCCGUCUCGGCAGCUUGAUGAUGAUCACGCGUGCUCCUAUAUCCUGCUCUGCGAGCCAUCUCGGGCUGGUUCACCGGUCGCACGCUUGUACGGUAUGGCGGCAGAUCUGGCGGAGCGGUUGCGGUGUUGUCAGUCGACGCUCAACUCGUCUCCAAGAAGGAAUCAUGUCUGGUCGAGGGUCGGACGCCGUGCAAUGCCCUCAUAUCCAGAGCGCUGACCUUGGUUGUCUCGAGGGGGUCCUGAUUAGACGUUCCAUUCCUGUUUCCCGCGUCCUGACACGCCCUGGGUCGUUUGGUGGGGAAGGCUGCGAAAAGAACGACGGGACGGGUGCCUGUUCCCUACCACGCUUCCCGUGAUCAGCGCGUUAGGUGGGAAAGCGACAGGUGCAUGAAAUGCCCUGGCUCUCGUGCGCGCGUCAGGCGGCGGGCGGCGUCCUUGCGCUCGACGCCUCCUGGAUCGCGCGAGCCCAUUUCCGUAUUCGACGGUAGCUGGUGCUCGACCCCUGACCGAUUCGCUCGACGCCAUUUCCGUCUUCGAGGCUGCGGUCGUCGACGACCGUGCAUAUGUAUAACUAGAGCAUCGAGUCGAGGGCCUCGACCCGCGUACGGGUAAUCUCGUUAUGUGCAUCGGUGAGGGUACCCCUUACUGAUACCCUCGACACCUCUGUUGGCGGUUCUUAAUGACAUAUUUACCCCGCCAACGUAGUCCAUGCAAAGGAAGAAAAGCAUGUAUUUUACUCACAUAUACUUAUUAAAUGCUUACCAAGUUCCACAUGUAGUGCAAGUUGUGUUUUGCAGAUCAUAUACAGGCAUACAGGUGGAAAGCAAAUAAAAAGGCGCAAUCCGACACGUCAAAAAAUGCGCAAAUAAACAAGUACCCAAAAGCCCAAUAUAGAAGUGCAUCAAUUUGCAGGUGGAUCUGGACUCAGGGGCCCGAGAGGAAGGCAACGGGCUUCGCGCCGGGGCCAGCGGGGCCCACCAGGGGGCGGCCGCCCCCUAGGGUCGGCCGACCCUGGCCCAGCCCAUCUCGGCACCGCCUUUCGCAAAGGCGGUGCUGAGCCUAUCCUCCCGCAGUCCCCGCAUGCAAAUUGCAGUUUACACCCUAGGGAACCGACCUUCCCCACCUAUUUAAGGAGGGGGAGAGGGAGGCUCCAUUCAUCUCAUCACAUUCAGAAUCAACACUCCACCUUCAAGGCACUUGGGCACUACCUCUUCUUAGUUUUUCCUUUUAGCUUUUAGAGAGAGAGUUGGGUGAGCUAUCAAGGAGGGCUUGGCUCCUUGGAGAGAAACUUGGGUAUGAAUAAAGAAUAUCUUUACUCCAAGUCCAUGCCUUAUCAUGUCCGAUAUAGUUCUUCAUAUGAACUAGAGUAUAGUUCUUAUGCUAUGGUAUAUGACAUAGAUCAUAGGCCCUGUUUUAUGAUGCUAGCAUAUGAACUAUAAUAUAGUUCUAGUGAAAAUGAUAUGACAUACAUUUUAGUAUAUAGUUCUUAUAGUAUAAUGCUAGCCUAGGGCUAGUAGUGUAUUAUAUGAACUAGUGCUAAGUGUAUGUUGUAUUAUUCUCACUUAGGACUUUAGUCUAAUUGCUUCAUGUUAAUUAAUUGCCUAGAAAUAGCUUUGUGUGAAGAUGGGGGUUUAUCAUGCUCUUUUGAGUAGGCUCGGGCUUCUUACCUGUCGAUCCGUAGGGUCGGGGACCCGAGGGAGUCUGAGUAGGUUCUUUGCAUGUAAGCAUGGUGCUUGGGUGUAAAGGCCGGGUAAAUGCAUUGUCCUAGUCCACGGUUGAGGGGAUGGCGGCAGGUGGUGACAGCCCUGUCCGUCCUUGGCAUUCCCCCACGUUCGGCUAGGGUGUAGGAGUCUAAAUAGUUGUGGAGGUUGCUGGCAGACCAGUACUCGCGUAACCUCCCAAACCAUCUAAACACAGCCCCGCUGUUGACACGGCCGGCAAGAACUUCGAGCUACGCACCCGCCUGAUCACCAUGGUGUAGGCGAGCCCAUUCUGUGGCUUGCCAAGCGAGGAUGCGAAUGCACACCUUCAACACUUCCUGGAGCUAUGUGACACGAUUGUCAUCAAGGACAUCACUCCUGAUGUAAUUCGGCUCCGCCUCUUUCCUUUCUCCCUCGUGGGGAAGGCGAAGAGGUGGUUCUAUCAAGAUAAGGAAGCUGUCACCACGUGGGCAAAAUGCUCCGCGGCAUUCCUCGCCAGGUUCUUCCCCAUAAGCAAAACCAAUGCUUUGAGGGGAAGGAUUGCCAGUUUUUAACAAAAUGCCAGCGAAACAAUCCCUGAAGCAUGGGAGCGGCUACAAGAGUACAUCCUAAGCUGCCCCCAUCACGGCAUGGAGAACUGGAUGGUGCUCCUGAACUUCUACAAUGGGCUCACGCCCAUGUCGAAGGGACACCUAGACGCCGCCGCUGGAGGCACGUUCCUAUCACUUACCACCGCCGGGGCCAAGGCCCUGAUCGAGAAGAUGGUAGAACACCAAGCUGGGGGGAGGACAGAACUCAACCACCAGCUGCCAAAACACAAAAAGCCAUGCAUACUGUGAAGGAGAUGGAUAUGCUUGCUGCAAAAAUAGAUUUAUUGAUGAAGCAACUCACCGAAAAGAACCAAGAAAACCCCUCGAACUCGGUGAAGGCCAUAGACUCGCACAUGACGUGCGAGGUCUGUGGAGAAGUUGGCCAUUCGGGGAAUGAUUGCCCCGAAACCCAUGAAGACGCUGCCUACAUCAACAAUGGGUUUCGCCAACAAGGAGGCGCCAACCAAGGUAAUGGUUGGAAUAAUCAGUCACACUCUUCAUUCCAAGGUAAUUCGAGUUUUAAUUCGAAUCAACCUUCAUUAAAAGACCUAGUUCUUAGACAAGCUAAAAUAAAUGAAAACAUAACUAAAAAGUUGCUGUCCAAUGAUAAGGUUUUAGAAAACAUAAAUACAAAAAUAGAAAACCUUGCCUCUUCCGUACAAAACAAACUGAGAUUUAAUAAAAUGAUAGAAACACAACUAGCUCAGAUCGCCGCUGCAAUUCCUACUGAGAAUGCGGGUAGACUCUCGGGGCAACCCGAGAACUCUCCCACUAACCAUGUAGGGUGAAAUUCAAACGACGGAAGAGAGUCCUUCUCAAAAAGGACUAUAAACAUUUUUUUUGAGCCUCCGCCGAAGGUAAUCGGUAGUUAUCUUCAAACAAAAAUUUGAAAAAUAUUCAAAAAUUCAUUUUCAACUAGGAAAUAAAAUAAAAUAAUAGAAAAAUAUUUUUUCUAAAUUUUUCGAAAAUAAAAAUUUUACAAAUAAAUGUUGGGCAAAAGUCACUUUUUUAGCUGGAAGUGCAUCAAUAUGCCAACGGAAAACUUCAAAAAACUAGCCGUUGGAAGAUGGAGACAAAAGCUGGGGAGCAGCAGGGCCCACCAGGGGGCGGCCGCCCCUAGGGUCGGCCGACCCCCCCCAACGGCUCUGGCCAACGGCCAGCUGGGGGAGGCUCCUAGCCGUUGCCCUCACCCCGAAUCCACCUGCAUUUUCAAACUAUAAAUACCAGGGGUUCAGGUGUGGCCCUCUCCACCCAUUCUCACAUCACUUCAUCACUUCCAUCUUCACUCUCCAAGCAACACUUUCACAUCUUUGCUAUUUCCAACCAACCACCAGCAGAAACCUCACAAAAAAAUCACCUAUCCAAGCUAGCUAUCCACUGGUGCAAGCAUUGCACCAUGAAAAGGUUCGGCAAAAUAGUUUUGGGGGCGUUUAAAAGAGUCACGAGGUCAUCCUCGAAGCGCCCUAUCGGAGCACUUCCUCAUACUACACCGAUCCCCAAUGGAGUCCUUCCACUGUGGAAGAAUCUACGGAGAUCGAGGAGGUAGAGGAAGAGGUAGAGGAAGAAGAAGAGGAACAAGAGGAGGAACAACAUAAAGAAGGAGGAGCCCACCAAUUCGACUUGGUGGGUGAUCGAGAACAUCAAACCUACAACAUGCUCAAGGACCGGAUCUUCCUCCAUACGCCGGUCUACGACGACUCGCUCCUCUCCGACAUCGGUAUGGACUCUGAAUUCCUCUCCAUAUGGAAAGCCACUGGGUGGGACAACAUUCACCCCAUAACUGAGUAUGGAUCCUAUACCCUUACCAUUCAAUUCCUAUGCACUUUAAGAGAAACAUAUGAAGGUAUUUCUGUUCGUUUAUUUGGAAAUGAAUAUGCUAUCUUUUGGAAAGACUUAAGCAAAUACCUUGGUUUUCAUCAAAGAUGCUCUCUUGAUUUAGUGCAUGCCACAAAAGGGUUUAAUAAGGAUAAAUUUUGGGAAGAAAUCACGGGGCAAGUUCACACUGGAAAAUACUAUCCUAGAAAUGCCCACAUCCAACACCCCACUCUAAGGUUUUUACACCUUUGGCUAUCCAUAACAAUAUUUCCUAGCCAGGGUACCCGCGUUGUGCGAGUAAAUGAAAUGAGGUUACUUUACACGGCUAGAAUGAAAAUAAAAGUUGCGCCUGUGCAAGAAAUUGUAAGGCAUUGGUUAGAUAUAAUCAAGACAACCACCCCUAUCUCUUUGACUUCACUCAUAACACGUUUGGCCACAGCCAUUAGUGCGUUGGAAGGGCAAGAUCUUGAUUAUAUUCAUAUUCCACGCACCCUGAUUAAUGAAACCUAUCUUAUCCAAGGUCACCAUUUGAAAAGAGAUAAUGCGGGCGGUCUUGUGUUUUAUUUCCCAGGGUAUACAAACGUAAUCCGGUUACCUAACCCGGGUCUACGCUUGUAUAACUCUGAGAGACUAACCUUUGAUUUGCAGACAGCUAAAACUGCGCGAAGGCGUAGUGUUUCUGGCAGGGACAUCGGCGGAUCCAGCUCCCAGCCACCACCCUCCUAUACACAGCCGAUCUACCAGUCGGGGUGGGACACACCCGUGCCGACACAAGGUGUUGAGGGGUGGGCUGAGGCGGAUUCUGUAACACCCUAGGUGUUAAGCAUGCACUUAGUCUCAUCAAAGUCAUGCAUAAGCAUUCCCAUCAAGCAUAAGCAUCAUGAGCAUGACACUCUUCUCAAAUUAUGAUUUGAUGUGCUUCACUUCUUGAGUUUAAAUAUUCUAAAAAUAUGAUGCUUGCUUCUAAAAUUGUGAAAUAUUCAAAUUAGGUUGCUUUAUGUGUAAGAAAAAUUUAGAAUAUUUUUGUGCAAUUUUUGGAGCUAUGGAAAUUGAGAAAUGGAAUUUAUACAAAAAUAUCCAAAAAGAAUUUAUUUAAAACCUAGAACUGAGUUUUAACUUGUAAUUCAAAUUCUGUUUGGAAUUUGGUCUUGCUUGUUAAAGCAAAGUUGUAGAGUUUUUGUUUUGGAACAACUUUGUUUUUGGGAGCAAGAGGUGAAAAUGAUUUUAAAUUGGUCCAAAUGAAUUUAGAAAGAAUUUGAGAAAAGAAUUUCAAAAAAAAAAGGAGAAAGGGGGCAGGCGCUGCUGGGCCGACCCGCCUCCCUUCUGGCCCAGCUGGGCAGCGCGGCCCGCUCCCCCUCCCCUCUCUCCCGCGCGCGCGGCGCCCGCCUUGCCCCACCCGGCGCCGGCCACGUGGCGGCCGUACGCAGGCGUUGGACGCGCCGCGGCCGGCCUCCAACCCCCCUGGUCGGGACGCCGACGCAGGCUCCCAGGCCACUCCCUCCAUCCUGUCUCCCCCGCGCCCUCCUUCUCCUUCCUCCUCCGCUCGCACCGCGCAGCAGCAGCCGCUCCUCCGCGCGCCAUUGCCGGAGAGAGCUCCGCCGCUCGUCGCCGGCCGCACCAGAGCCUCAAGCUCGACGCCGAGAGCACCAGGGCACUCGCCGUCGCUAGGGUAAGCUCGUGCGAACGUUCUACCGAGGUGAGAGUCCGUCGAGUGCCGUGAAUCGCUCGCCGGAGUUACCCCGAGCUCGCCGGAGUACUCCGCCGCGACGGAUCUAGCGUUUCCCUGCCUCUUUUCGCUCGUUCUCUGUUGCGCUAGGUCGGUAGGAAGGUGAGGAAGCUCGGAGAGGCGUUUGCGCACGCUCUACCGCGCCGGAGCAGCCUGGCCACGGCGAGCAGCGCCGCCGUGCCGCCAUGCAUGCUCGCCGGAGGUGUUCCGGCCGUCCUCUGGUCGAUCCAAGGGUACCGCUGGGUGCGUCUUGCUGCGGGGAGCACGUUGGUGCUCACCCCGUGGCCGGAGACCUCACCGCCGGCGAAAUCCGCUCGUCGGAGGUGAGCUCCCUCUCGGUCUCGCUGACUGGUGGGGUCGGGGACCCACUGUCAGUCGCAGGGGUACCCCGGUGGGUGUAGAUCUGGGUGUGCGUAGCCUUUUUCGUCGGUUUUCUUGAAAAAGUGUUUUCCAGAAAUUGAUUUAAAGUUUGUAAAAUCUAUAUCUUGAGUUCUACAGCUCCAAAUUGAAUGAAAUAAAUUUUGGUGUGCUCUAUAUUUCCAGAUCUACAGUUUGAUGUAAUUGCAUGUCAUGUUGGAGUAACUUUUCUGUGUGAAUAUAUUUUAUCCAUGAUUUUGUUAAACUUGGAAAAUGCAUAGUAAAUAAAAUAUGGCUCAGAAAAAUGUGAAACUUGAUUUGUUGGCUUUGCAUGUGUGUUUGCUCACUGGGAAAAUGUGGGUACAUAUUAUUUGAUGAAUAAAUGAAUUUAUGGUAAUUUAAAUGCUUGCAUGGCAGUGCUUUAUGAUUUUUAAUAAUUAAAUGGGUCAUGCAAGAAAUCUGGAAAAUUUUGUGGGUGUUUCUUAUGAUGUUAGACAAAUUGUAAAAAUAUGAAAUCUGUUGUUUGACACUUAUAUCACAGUAGAGUGAUUUUACUUACCUUAUCAAUUAAUCUUGUGAUUUUUGUGGCUCAAAAUAAGUAACCAAAAAAUUAUGAAAAAUUUACAGUAGACUUUAUGAUUAGCUAGUAGUCUCCUGUAAUUUUUCUAGAAUUUAUUGAUGAACAGAAUUGCAUGUGAUUUUAAUGAGCCUAGAAAUGAAUAAAGAAAAUUAUGAAUGGUUGCAUAUCUAGGUUGAAUGGAAUAAGUUGGGUUUGGUGUAUCUUUGAAGCAUCCUGUGGGUUACUGAUUGCAUUUGAAAAAUAAUUGUAAAAGAGAAUGCAAUAGAUGUUUAAUCCAAGUGCCUGUUCUUGGAUGAUGUUGCAUACCUUGUGAUGAGCAUGACCAAGUGUAUCAUCCAUGCAUCAUGACAUGGUCCUUUGGUACCUUCUCAUACAAGCAUCCAUUCGGGCAUCUCACACUCCACUCAUGAGCACACAUGCAUCAUACAGGCUCGCAGGAGAACGAGGUGGGACCCGAGGAGCCAGAGGAGACUCAGGAGCAGGAACCUCUGGAAGCACCGGAACCCGGAGAGGAACUGCAGGAGUGUCCGGAUCACCGACCCAGCACGUUUGAGAAAGGCAAGCCCCGGAGCAUUCUAAGUCUCCCUAUUCUCGCUAACUUAUGUGAUGCACUAUACUUGUUCUACUACUGCAUUUAAGCGGUAGGAGUUGCCUGAUACCGUUGCUGCAUAUGUACUCCUUGUUAUUCCUACUCGUUUAUCUACCUUGUCCUAUGUAGAUAGGCGCGGAGUCUAUGCUUAGCUUGCUUAGUCCGGUAGAAGUCGGGUGAUUUCCUGUCACCUGCGAGAUAUAGGUGGAUACCUGCUUGAUUAAGCUUUGGUUGCUUGGGAAAAGGAUGACCAAUUGUGGAAUGAAUUUGGAGACCGGGCAGGGUCUUAUGGUGGGUUGACCAUAGUGCCCCUGCCUGUGUCGAUUAAGGACCGAUCGUUGACGGCCCUCUUGUCAUGUUGAACGCAUGCCCCACACUUAGCUGGAAGGAUAAGUCGUUCCGACCGCGAAGCCUGAGCACUAUCCGGGCCGGGAAUCGGCCCGAUGUACGCGCUGUAUUGGUGAUGGUUGAGGAGAACGACGAGGGCGCGGCGCGCAACCUUGGUAUACCUUGGAUACCUCGGUCGCCGGAACGGUCCUCGGGUACGGGCGGUGCCUGUCGAACCCGCGAAUUGGUCCUGGAUAGUGCAACACGGUGACCUGUAGCUCACUUGAUCAGUGAGUGUGGUUUGUGUGGGGAAUAAAUUCGCCAGCUGGUUAGAAAUCGAUUCGAAUCGCCAUCGCUCCUGGAUAGUGAGCACUUGACAUGAGCUUCGUCCUCGUAGUAAGGACUAUGGAACACUUGGGUUAUAAUGAUGAAUGGUUUAAGAAAUGCUAUGAUGAGGUACUAUCAUAGUCUCAUACUUGCUUGUAAUAGCACAGGAGCAAACCUAGAUAAUAGGUAAUGAUACUUUCAACUUGAGCAGAUUAAAAGAAGAAAAGAUUUAUGUAGGUUAGGGUAAUAAAACCUUGCGGUCUUUGCAAAAUGGUUGUCAGCUACCCCACUAAAUAGACUUCAUGAUCCUUGAUGAGUCUUUAUUUUAAGUUUAUGACGGGUAAGUCUAGCUGAGUACCUUCUCGUACUCAGGGUUCUAUUCCCAUGUUGUUUUGCAGAUGGUCAAAUGUACUAUGGUUAUUGCAUCCUCUGUCUGUACCCAGCUAUGGGUGAUGACUAGACCAAGGGCGAUGGUCACUCCGUCUCUUCCUUUGCUUUUGUCGGAAUGACCGAACUAUGGCACUGUAUCAGACUUAUCGUGUGUGUUGUAAUUUCGAACUAUGAAGCUUCUGCUACUUGAAGAACUUGGUUUGUAAUAACUUAAGUACUCCGAUGUGUUUCAUGAAUGUUGUAAUCUGGAUGUACUUGUGGAUGGCGGCCGCUAAACUUAUUACGAUCUUGGCUGUAUGCGAUGUGUGGUUUGAAAUCCUUCGAGAUUUCACGGACUACCAGGAUUAUAUGGGCUUAAGCGUGAUGGUUUGACUAUGCAAAUGGUCACUAUUAGGCUUAAUCUCUUAUAAUUUGGUCGGUUCUGUUACAGAUUCCAGCGCUUGGGAACAACAAUCGCGCUGGAGGGCUUAGGGCAGGCCUGGCACCAGCAGGAGCAAGAAGAAAUGCAAGCUCGCCAAGAUCAGCUGCUGAAAUAGUCCCAAGACUUCUGGCGGUACAUGGGGUACAACCCCGAUCACUAGGCCAGAAGGUAGCUUGGGGGAGGACCCCCAAUCCCGAGGUUAUCUGCAUUGCAUAUUUAUUUUCAUGCAUCCUUAAUUUUAAAUUAGCAUGUUUACUUUAUGAAAUUUCCAUUAGUUAAAUUCAUGUUUUAAUUAUUGCAUAUAAAAAAAUGAAAAAUGCUAAAAAGAUAAAAAUAUAAUUCCACUCUUAUAUGUGAUGUAAGAUAUAUGCUUCUUCCUUGUUGAAAUGAUGAAUAGUUGCUCUAUCGUAAUUUCUUUCCGGUAUCUAGUUUCAACCUUGAAUUCACCAAAUUAAUAAAAUGAUUAAAUGCGUGGGUUGCAAAAUGCUCUAUCUAAAGUCUAAAGUAAUUAAUGGAUAUAUUUGUGAUGAUCUGAGCUGCUAGUAUCCUGUUCUAAACAACGCUAGAGUUCUGGAGUUUUUACAAAAAUAAAAUAAUCACAUUGAGUUAGAUUAAGCUUUGUUGACCCUUUGAGAGGUUGUCAUACCAUUGAAAAUAAAAAUAUUUCAUUAUGUUAUCAUCUCAAAAGUUUGUUAGAAGGCAUAUGGCUAUGAAAAAGAAAAAAAAGCAUCCGAGAAAAUAAAAAGGGACAUGUGUCCGAAACCUCAAAAAGAAAGAUCACGAGGAAAUAAAAAGGGAGAUGUGUCCGGAACCUCGAAAAUAAUAAUAAUAAAAAAAUAGGCAAGUGCCCAAUAGUAGAAUUAGCCACAUAGCCAUGUGUCUCUAAUAGACAAAAAGAGAAUGAUGGAAAAGAAAAAUUUUUAAAAAAUUCAAUGGUAUGAUUAACUUUCUCUUUGGAUCCAUUGUUUAAUUUGACAAAUAAAUGUGCUAAGUUUUUGAAAAUAAAAAAAAAACACCGGAACAAAAGUAAAGAACUGGGGACAUAGCGCUCGAUCUGAUCAAAUCCAUCCUGCAAAUGCUUAAGGACCCAAGGUAUGAGCAAUAAGCCCCAUGACAUAUCUGUUCAAAAUUCAAAGGAGAAUUCUUGUUUGAAGGUUUGUACUGGAUAGAAGUGAAAAUAUUGUAGCAACUCCUGAUCAACAACCAAGAUCUUAGCUUCUUGCUCGAGGACGAGCAAGGGGUAAGCUUGGGGGAGUUUAUUGGCAGUUCUUAAUGACAUAUUUACCCCGCCAACAUAGUCCAUGCAAAGGAAGAAAAGCAUGUAUUUUACUCACAUGUACUUAUUAAAUGCUUACCAAGUUCCACAUGUAGUGCAAGUUGUGUUUUGCAGAUCAUAUACAGGCAUACAGGUGGAAAGCAAAUAAAAAGGCGCAAUCCGACACGUCAAAAAAUGCGCAAAUAAACAAGUACCCAAAAGCCCAAUAUAGAAGUGCAUCAAUUUGCAGGUGGAUCUGGACUCAGGGGCCCAAGAGGAAGGCAACGGGCUUCGGGCCGGGGCCAGCGGGGCCCACCAGAGGGCGGCCGCCCCCUAGGGUCGGCCGACCCUGGCCCAGCCCAUCUCGGCACCGCCUUUUGUAGAGGCGGUGCUGAGCCUAUCCUCCCGUAGUCCCCGCGUGCAAAUUGCAGUUUACACCCUGGGGAACCGACCUUCCCCACCUAUUUAAGGAGGGGGAGAGGGAGGCUCCAUUCAUCUCAUCACAUUCACAAUCAACACUCCACCUUCAAGGCACUUGGGCACUACCUCUUCUUAGUUUUUCCUUUUAGCUUUUAGAGAGAGAGUUGGGUGAGCUAUCAAGGAGGGCUUGGCUCCUUGGAGAGAAACUUGGGUAUGAAUAAAGAAUAUCUUUACUCCAAGUCCAUGCCUUAUCAUGUCCGAUAAAGUUCUUCAUAUGAACUAGAGUAUAGUUCUUAUGCUAUGGUAUAUGACAUAGAUCAUAGGUCCUGUUUCAUGAUGCUAGCAUAUGAACUAGAAUAUAGUUCUAGUGAAAAUGAUAUGACAUACAUUUUAGUAUAUAGUUCUUAUAGUAUAAUGCUACCCUAGGGCUAGUAGUGUAUUAUAUGAACUAGUGCUAAGUGUAUGUUGUAUUAUUCUCACUUAGGACUUUAGUCUAAUUGCUUCAUGUUAAUUAAUUUCCUAGAAAUAGCUUUGUGUGAAGAUGGGGGUUUAUCAUGCUCUUUUGAGUAGGUUCGGGCUUCUUACCUGUCGAUCCGUAGGGUCGGGGACCCGGGGGAGUCCGAGUAGGUUCUUUGCAUGUAAGCAUGGUGCUUGGGUGUAAAGGCCGGGUAAAUGCAUUGUCCUAGUCCACGGUUGAGGGGAUGGCGGCAGGUGGUGACAGCCCUGUCAGUCCUUGGCAUUCCCCCACGUUCGGCUAGGGUGUAGGAGUCUAAAUAGUUGCGGAGGUUGCUGGCAGACCUGUACUCGCGUAACCUCCCAAACCAUCUAAACACAGGACUAGAUCUAAGUAGUAUAAUUACAUGAUUAACUUGUUCUAUGACAUGAUCUGUAUCUAGGACCGCACCUGCUCCAAUAGGUUGUUUGUUUAUUCUUUGAUUCAAUUCAUUCUUUUAGUCUCUUUUUAUUCCUUAGCCCAUAUGCCAUGCCUAGAUUGUGAUGGAUCACUAUUCUACAUAUAAAUGUUUAUCACCUGCUAUGACCUUUGAUUCCAUUAUUGCUAUCAUAAUUACUUUGAUCUAUGCUUAUCUUAGAAUCCUUAACAUAUUAAGCCUUCCUUAGAGCGAACCUAUAAAUACGACACUCGGUAAAUCCCCGGGUUGAAAUGCUACACGAAAAUUCCCGUCCGCUUGCGGUACUUAAACUCCAAACCUAAGGAACUAUCACCCCGGUAUAUACUUAACAUUGUUGCUAGACAUGCGCCGAGCUAGUGACUUGUUAAGGAAUACCAACAUGGCAAUCCUAGUGCCACUACCAUGAUUAAGAACUGGAACCCUACCCUAACGGUAAUAAGGCGCCGUUAUCGGGAAGGUAGAUCUAGCUUCCUAUUCAAGGUGGUGAUGCUACGGAUCUGCCAAUAUAACACUGCCAAUGUCAUUAUCAUGAGUAGAGCAGAACCCUAUUCUGGGUAGCGACGCUAAGAAACGCUAACAAGCAUUUCUAGCACGUUGCUUAGGAUAGAUUUAUACUCUAAUCUUGGUGAUUGCAUUAGUAAGUGUUAUCACGACAUUUCUGACAUCGUUGCUGAGGACGGAUUAAACCCUAUUCUUAGUGAUGACGUUAAGAAAUGCCAACAACCUCACCACCCGUCCUCACUGCACCUCAACCUAAUGAGGACCUGCUCCUUUACAUAGCAGCAACCAAUCGGGUUGUCUCCACGGCGAUGGUGGUUGAGCGGGACGAACCAGACCACGUCUACAAAGUCUAGAGGCCUGUUUACUUCAUAAGCGAAGUCCUAAACGAAUCCAAGACCAGGUAUCCUCAGAUACAAAAGCUAAUCUACACCAUCUUAAUCACCUCAAGGAAGCUGAAGCACUACUUCGACGACCAUCGGGUUUUAGUUACUACCAGUUUUCCUUUGGGGGACAUUUUGCGCAACAAGGACACAAACGGCAGAAUUGUAAAGUGGGUGAUGGAAUUAUGCCCAUUUUCUCUGGAUUUCUAGAGUCGCACUACCAACAAGUCCCAGGCCCUGGUCGACUUCAUCGCAGAAUGAACGGAUCUCAAUGAGCCCACCCCCUCCAGAUGCCUCCGACCACUGGUCAAUGUUCUUCGACGGAUCCUUGAACAUCAAUGGAGCCGGUGCCGGAAUACUUUUUGUUUCGCCAAACAAGGACAAACUCCGCUACGUCCUUAGGAUCCUCUUCCCGGCAUCCAACAACGUCACCGAAUACGAAGCAUGCUUGCAUGGCAUCCGAUUGGCUGUCGAACUGGGAGUUAAACGCCUUUAUGUCCACGGCGAUUCUGCCCUAGUCAUCAACCAGCUAAAUAAGGAGUGGGACACAACUCACGAGAAGAUGGACCUCUACUACAAAGAAAUCCGGAAGUGGGAAUCAAAUUUUUACGGCAUAGAAUACAUCCAUGUGGUCCGAGAAAAGAAUCAUGCAGCGGAUGCGCUGUCAACGAUAGGAUCAUCCCGGGCCUAGAUUCCCCAAGGCGUUUUCGUCCAGGACAUUCACACGCCAAGCGUCGGCACGGACCUGAUCGACAAGCCGUCUAACGAAACAAUGCUCAUAGACGACACCACUCCAACAACCACCAGCCACGACUGCGCACUCCUUUCAUCAAGUAUCUCUCGGACGGUUCGGGAUUUCAAGACAAAACGGAGAACGAACGCCUCAUCCGGCGAUCCAAAAAUUACAUACUGGUCAACGGCAAACUUAUGCGUAAGAAUACAGGUUCAGAAGUCUUGUUGAAAUGCAUAUCCCAAGACGAUGGCAUCAAUUUAUUGGAGGACAUACAUGCUGGAUCCUGCGGCAACCACGCCGCCUCUAGAACGCUGGUCAGAAAGGCUUUUCGAGGAGGUUUCUAUUGGCCAACUGCAGUCGUCGACGCCGAGAAACUGAUCCGGCAUUGUAAAGGAUGCCAGUUCUUUGCCAAGUGGACCUACGUACCUGCUCAUGAGAUCCAGACGAUUCCCUCAUCUUGGUCAUUUGCAUGUUGGGGUCUCGACAUGAUCGGGCCAUUCAAACCGGCCCCCGGCAACUUCAAAUUCGUGUUCGUGCUAAUCGACAAAUUCUCGAAGUGGAUCGAGUACGUGCCACUGGUCAAAGCAACUUCCGAGAAGGCUGUGGAGUUCCUCAAUCAAAUCAUACAUAGAUUCGGGGUUCCCAACAGCAUAAUCACUGACCUGGGCACUCAGUUCACCGGCACUACAUUCUGGGACUUCUGCGAUGAUAGAGGCAAUUCCCUUCUCUUCUACAAUUUGUUCUUAAGUGUAACCAGCAACUCACAAGAUGCUUCAAAGAUACACCAAACCCCUUUUAUUUUACUUAAUCUAUAUAUAACAAUUCAUAAUUUCUUUAUCCAUAUUUAGGCCUACCAAACUAGCAUGCAUUUUUGUUUAUCAAUAAAUUCCACAAAAAUUACAGUAGACUACCAGUCAAACAUAAAGUCUACCAUAAAUUUCCCAUAAUAUUUCGACACUUAUUUUGAGCUACAAAAAUCACAAGAUAAAUUCACAAAAGCAAGUAUAAAUACUCUACUCUAGUAUAAGUGUCAAACAGCAGAUUUCAUAUUUUUAUAAUUUGCUUAUUAUCCUAAGAAACACCCACAAAAAUUUCCAGAUUAAUUGCAUGAUCCAAUUAUUUAUUAAAAAUCAUAAACCACUGCCAUGCAAGCAUUUAAAUCACCAUAAAUUAAUUCACACAGCAAAUAAUGUGUAACAUAUUUUUCCUAGAGCCUAAUCUUCCAUGCAGAGCCAAUAAAACAAAUUUCAUAUUUUUCUGAGCUUUAUUUUAAUUACUAUGCAUUUUCCAAAUUCUGCAAAAACAUGGAUUAAAUAUGUUUGUAUAGAAAAGUUGUUCAAACAUGACAUGCAAACACACCAGGCUAUAGAUCUGAGAAUAAGGAACACACCAAAAUUUGUUUCACUAAUUUUGGAGCUAUACAACUCAAGAUAUGGAUUUUACAUCAUUUAAAUCAAUUUCUGGAAAACCUUUAUUUAAGAAAACCGACGGAAAACGUUAGAUUCACCCGGAUCCGCACCCGCAGAGACGCUGACAGGUGGGAUCCAGGGGUUGUGGCCCCACGGGUCAACCAUGCAGCACUCCGGCCAACUUCAGUCGGCCGGCUCUCGCCGACGGCGAGGUCUCCGGCCACGGGGUGAGCACCAGCAUGUUCCCCGCAGUGAGGCGCACCCAAGGGUGCCCUUGGAUCGGCCGGAGGGUGACCGGAGCACCCUCGACGAGCAUGCAUGGCGGCACGGCGGCGCUGCUCGCCGUGUCCAGGCCGCUCCGGUGCGGUAGAGCGCGCAUGAGUGCUCCUCCAAGCCUCCUCACCGAACUACGAACCUAACGCGCCCAAAAGCGAGCGAAAGGAGAUAGGGACUAGCGAGAUUCAACGCGGCAGAGCUCUCCGGCGAGGUCGGAGCAACUCCGGCGAGCGAUUCACGGCACACGACGGGCUCUCACCUCGGUAGAGCGUUCGCAGGGGCUUACCGCGGCGACGACGAGUGCGCUGGUGGUCUUGGCGUCGAGGUUGGGCACUGGCGUGGCCGGCGGUGAGCAGCGGAGCACUCCGGCGAUGGCGCUACGGCGGAGCUGCUACGGCUGCGACGCUCGCGAGCGAAAGAGGAAGAAGGAGAGAGGAGCGGGGCGACAGAGUGGAGCCUGGGGGCACGGGGCGGCCUUCCGACCAGGUUAUAGCCGGUCGGCCGCGGCGCGUCCAACGCCGGCGUAUGGCCGCCACGUGGCCGGCGUCGGGUGGAGCGAGGCGGCCGCCGCGCGCGGGAGAGAGAAGGGAGGGGAAGUGGACCACGCUGUCUGGCUGGGCCGAAAGGGAGGCGGGUCGGCCCAGCAGCGCCUGUCCCCUUUUUCUUUUUUUUUUGAAUUCCUUUUCUCCAAAAAGUUUAAAUGAGACUUUUGAGGCUUUUUCAAAUCUUUUUAUGGGUUGAGGUAAAAAUAAGAAUUGUUCCCCACAAAAUUCCCUACAACUUUGCUUUAAUAAGUGAAGCCAAAUUCCAAAUAGAAUUUGAAUCACAGGUUAAAACUAGUUCUAGGUUUUUAAAUAAAUUCAUUUUAGGGAUUUUUGUAUAAAUUCCAUUUCUCAAAUCCUAUGGCUCCAAAAAUAUCACAAAAUUACUCUUAAACCUUUUAACACACAAUUCAACCCAAUUUGAAUAUUUCACAAUUUUAGAAGCAAGCUUAAUAUUUUUAACCAUAUUUAAUUCACCUAAAUAAAGCACACAUAAAAUCACACUUGAAUUAUUAUUAUGCUCAUGGGAUGUGAUGCUUAUGCCAUGCUUGAUGAGAAUGCUUAUGAAUGUUUUAUGAGACUAAAUGCAUGCUUAAGACCUAGGGUGUUACAAGUGAUGUAUAGAGAAGACUGCAACCGUAGUCUCGUUCUAUGCCCUGGUAAGGAUGAUCUAGUGUUCUAUUGGGGAAGCUUACGGAAUCUAGACACCACAAAGGAUGUUCGACCCGCACCUAUAAACCUUCCCGUCCUGCUAACGAGAUGUGGGAUGCAAAGGUAACUCGGAAAUGUCACGUUCCUCGCUACUACCACGGUCCAGCUAGUCAGGGGAUAUCUAUGAGUACGCCAGCCUAAACACCACGUUUACGCUAGCAAUGAUUACUCUAAUACUCAACCGGAAGAGAUUAAAGUAAACUCAUAAACCAAAGAAUAAUAAAACAAGAACUUACUAGAAUUAGAAGUCGAAUUACUGAAUAAUCCUAGGAGCAAGCCUCGGGUUAGAAGACUUGAUCCCACAGGUACAACCUCGAAGUUGACACCAACAGGCCAGGCUUCCUCCCAUCUACACCUCCACUCUAUCUCUCUCAAUCUAGUAGAAACUAGAAGAUCUACUUGUACACACAUUGGAUGCUAAGCCUAAAAGAAAUUUUAUUUAGAGGAGAGGUAUUCCUUCGAGGGCUCCUCUCAACUCUAUGAUGAACUUGUCUCCUCCAGGGGCCUGGGGGUCUGGUUUUAUAGUCCCCUCAAGUGAACGUGGGCCAUUGGAUCAAACCGACAACGAUUGAACGGUUAUCCUUUAUCCUUUAGGUCGGUGGAGAUUGAUCCCGAAAGAGAGUCCUGAUCCAACUCUGUGAGGGGGCGGGCGCCCGGGUCAACUGGGCGGCCGCCCAGUGCCUGGCCCCGUUCGGCCUCCGCUUCCUUCCCGUGGGUUCUGGAGUCUUCUAGAUGUAAGAUAAUUGCGCGGCACGUUAAUAUCUCUAUGUAAACCCGAUGUGUGGGCCUUUCUUCCGUAUUUUCUGAUAACCCCCUACAGAAAUAGACAAACACCAAAACACAUGGAAUUCUGUCAGAUAAAACCCUAAGUCUAGGUUUUGGUUGCAUUUGGAUCCUUUUCUUUAUUUAUUUGAUGAUUAUAUUUGGUACUUAAGGACCGUCAACAACUCCCCCAAGCUUACCUCUUGCUCGUCCCUGAGCAAGGACGAACUCAAGAAUUUCUAUAGUGGUUUCAUUCCUUAAAAGUACACAUGCAUUCAAACAAGAUCUCAUGUAUGAGUUAGAAUAAACUGUUAAGACUUAAAACUUACUCAUUUUACCUUUCACCAUGGGGCUUGUAACCAUCACUUGUGUCUUGAGCAGUUAAAAGAUAGAACGGUCUAGUCAAGCGCCAUGUCUCGUAUUCUUGAUCAGCUAAAGCUCUGGAGUUUUUGCAUAUUUUCAUAUAAAACUCAGAGAUUCCCUAGAUGAUUCUCUCAAAUCUCUCUUUUGUGGUAUUUCUGGAUCCUUUCCAAGGCAGUAAUGGUAUAUGUCUUCUCUCAAAGUAUGUGGUAUUUUUGGUAUGAGGCAUAGUGAUAUUGCCUUCUCUCUCACCCUACUCUAAUAAGGUUUUUAUAUCUAGAGCUCAUAGGUGGGAGACAGCUAAUACAUACUUACAAGAUAUUUAUUGCAUAGUCAAACCAUGGAUCCAGAGAGACAAGUCAUUAAGUCAAAUUAAGAUGUGCAUGUGUGGCGAGUGAAUGGUGUAUGGUGAUGAUGGUGAUAACAAUGUUGAUAGUCUAAUUCUACUUUUGCUCUUUUUAGGGGAUACAUACCUUUCUUGCACUUUGAAGCUUCUCAAGGAGAAUGAGAUGCUCUAUAUUUUUUUCUCUUUUUCUCUCAGGUGGGUAUCUUGUACCCCUAAUUCUACUGUCGGACACUUGUCCAUUUUAACCUCUCGUCUCACUUUUUCUUUCCUUUCGAGGUUCCGGGCACUUGCCCCUUUUUAUUUCCUCGUAUUCUUUUUUUCUUUUCUUCUUCUUUUUUUUUCAGAGCACUCACCCUCCUAGAAUGUAGCAAGUGGUAGUAACCAAAAUAUCUGGAGCAUUUAUUUCACAGGGAAUAACAAGGAUAGGAAAAUAUUUUUGGCUAUUCUCUCCUAGAUUAGGAGUAGAAUAAUUUUGGGUGAAUCUGAAGAUAGAAAUGAGUGGAUAUAUGUGGAUGCGUACUUCCGAAGUAGAAGUAGCAUGUGUGAACGUGCAAGUGAAUCUUGAUUUUAACCACAUGACAAGCUCCUAAGGGUCUACACAGCUUGACCACACUCAACGCUCAUAAGCAGUAAAAAGUAAAUGUGUGGCUCAAAGUCUAAUAAGCAUGUAUAUAUGGCUGUGGUAGGAUUUUAAACUCUCAUCAUAUAGGAACUCAUCAUGUGUUAUUUUAAAUAUUUUUAAAGAUAAAAUUCUCUAGAAUUCUAGCAUCUCUAGGAACAGAUAAACAACAUCUCAACCUUCCCAUAUCAUAUCCGUUAACGACUUAGACUUUAGAUCAAGUACUCUUCCCACAAGUUCAGGUUUAGAGCAAAUCUUAAUUCAUAACAGUCAUGCCUAAACUUGAGAGAGAGCUCAAACUUGAAAACUAGGUAUAUGGCAGAGCAACUAUUUAUCAUAACCAUGUAAGAGUUUAUCAUUUAAGUUCAGUUUAGCCUAGACACUUUAUUUAUUUAAUUAUUUAGCAAACUAAGCAAAGAUAUCAGCAUAAUUUUUUUUACUUG